UUAAUAAUUUUUUAUUUUAUUGAUUCUCCACUUGUUUAUUUUUAUCAGAAAAUACAUAAAAAGAUGUGUUCAUUCAAAAUACAAAAGGUGAAGAGCAUUUGAAUUAACCAUCACUAUGGCAGCAGCAACCACUUGUGGCAUUACACUCCCAACGUUGAAAGUGAUUAAGUAUGAUACAUAAAACGCGACAAAAUCCAGUAUCACAUGAUAUUGUUUUAUCGCAAUGAUCCAACCUCCUAUUGACACUGCUUGCGUCUGCAAUAAUUAACAAAAUUGAUAGAUUAAUAUAAUAUUUAAAUAUAUCUUAUAUUCAUUUAGUUAAGUAUAAUUAUUUAUGUAUCUGUACUUAAUUGGUUAAAUACUUAAAAUAAAAAAUUUUAUAACACAAUAUUGUAACUUUUAUAAUUAAAAGUUGCUUCCAAGCAUUUUUACUCAUUACAAAAUGAAUUAUGAAAAAAAAUAAGAUAAAUUUCGCUACCUGAAACAAAAACCAAAGCCACGAAAAGAAUGCAAAAGAAAAACUUUGACGCACUAUUAGUAGCCAUUUUGUCAAAAUCAAUGUGUUUUCUUGCUUUUUUGAAAGAAUAUGAAUAAUUAAGCCUAUUGAUCAGUCUAUUUAUAGGCUCUUAGAGAAAAAAUUAAACCCAAUAUGAUAUUUAUUAUUAUAAUGAUAAUAAUAAAUUGGGUCUUGUUAAGAUAAUCAAAUGCCGAUAUCUCACUUUAUUAUUGGCAGAUUUCUUACUUAAUAUGUAUAAAAUAUUAUUUUUAGACUGCAAUUUUGUUAAUUAAAUAUAUUAUUUCUAAAAGCAACUUAUUAAAUAAAUUGAUUUAGUUAAAAAAAGAAAGAAAUUACAAUGAUUCUUUUACAAUUUUAUUUUUAGUUUUAUAAAUCUGAUUGUUUUUACUGUGGACAAAUUUUUCUGCUAAAAACUCUAUCUUAAUUUUUACAAAUUCAAUAAUUUUUUUACUGUGAGUGAAUUUUUCUAUCACUCUUAUGGUUAAUAGAUGCUUUUGUUAUCUACUCCUAAACAUUUUUAAUAAUUUUUAAAAGUGUUAUAAUUAAUUAUUUAUUUGAUUUGAUUAAGAUAGAUAUAAAAUUAUUUAAUAUUAUAUUUAACCAUAUUAAUUAUAACUACUUAAUUAUUUGAUUUGAUUGAAAUAAAAAAUUAAACCCAAUAUGAUAUUUGUUAUUAUAAUGACAAUAAUAAAUUGGGUCUUGUUAAGAUAAUCAAAUGCCAAUAUCUCACAUUAUUUUUGGCAGAUUUCUUACUUAGUAUGUAUAAAAUAUUAUUUUUAGACUGCAAUUUUGUUAAUUAAAUAUAUUAUUUCUAAAAAUAACUUAUUAAAUAAAUUGAUUUAGUUAAAAAAAAGAAAGAAAUUACAAUGAUUCUUUUAUAAUUUUAUUUUUAGUUUUAUAAAUUUGAUUGCUUUUACUGUGUACAAAUUCUUCUACUAAAACUCUAUCUUAAUUUUUACAAAUUCAAUAAUUUUUUACUGUGAGUAAAUUUUUCUAUCACUAUUAUGGUUAAUAGAUCCUUUUGUUAUCUACUCAUAAACAUUUUAUUGAUUUGAUGAAUUUAUUAAUUUUUUUUAUCAACAAUAAAUAAAUUUACCUUUAAAAGUGUUAUAAUUAAUUAUUUAUUUGAUUUGAUUAAGAUAGAUAUAAAAUUAUUUAAUAUUAUAUUUAACCAUAUUAAUUAUAACUACUUAAUUAUUUGAUUUGAUUGAAAUAAAAAAUUAAACCCAAUAUGAUAUUUGUUAUUAUAAUGACAAUAAUAAAUUGGAUCUUGUUAAGAUAAUCAAAUGCCGAUAUCCCACAUUAUUAUUGGCAGAUUUCUUACUUAAUAUGUAUAAAAUAUUAUUUUUAGACUGCAAUUUUGUUAAUUAAAUAUAUUAUUCCUAAAAACAACUUAUUAAAUAAAUUGAUUUAGUUAAAAAAAGAAAGCUAAAAAAUUACAAUGAUUCUUUUAUAAUUUUAUUUUUAGUUUUAUAAAUCUGAUUGCUUUUACUGUAGACAAAUUCUUCUGCUAAAAACUCUAUCUUAAUUUUUACAAAUUCAAUAAUUUUUUACUGUGAGUAAAUUUUUCUAUCACUCUUAUGGUUAAUAGAUCCUUUUGUUAUCUACUCAUAAAUAUUUUGUUGAUUUGAUGAAUUUAUUAAUUUUUUUAUCAUCAUUGAGCUAAAUAAUUAUAGUUAAUUUAUUAUAUAAAUUAUUUAGUUUAAUUAAUUCAAAUAUAUAUGUGAUCUUUUAGACAGAAAUAAAUAAAUUAGAAGUGUUGUUUGUUUCACUUUAAUUAGCAUUUUGUGAUGAAGACGCCUAUAAAACGUCAAUAUGCAUUUAUUCUAUUAAUUAAUCAAUUUCUUGAGUUUAGUCUUAUGGAAAAAACAAUCCUAAAGCUGUUAUAAAUUAUAAUCCAAUAGAUUUGAUGCUGCACUAGUGAUUUUUUUUUAAUUAUAUUUAUUUGUAAAUUUAAAAUCUUGAUGUCAUCUAUUUAAUUCCUCAUUUUAAAUGCAUUUGUUUCAUUUGUAGAUAGAAAGAGUUACUUGGAAGUAGUUGAUUGGUGUAGUGACUUAAUAGUAUCUAAUGAUUUAUUAUUAAGAUGAUUUAAUUUUGUUUUAUUAUCAGUUAAAGAUUUUUGUACCGUCAUUCAAUCAUGCAUUAUUACCAUUUAAUAUAGAAAUGUUUGGCUCGCUCUACUAAUAAUUAUCUCAGGAGGAGAAGGAUUAGUAGUGAAUAUGAUUUGUUGAUUGUACAAAUGCAUCGAACUUAAUCUCUUGUUAUAUUUCUAGUUCCUUUAUGUUAUGUUCUUAGCUUUUCUUGAAAAUUAUAGGUGAGGCUAUGUCAUGCAAAAGGUAGAGGAGAGGUUUUGACCAUGAAAAAGUUAAAAAUGCUUAGCCAUGGAUAGGUACUGCAAUAAAGAAGUGAAAUUCGUAAAUCAUUUUCUAUUUUCAGUCUUAAGAGCGUAUCACUUGUAAUCUAUUAGAUUUGAAGUAAAGGUUCUCAAAAUAAAUAUUUUGUUGAAAGCGCUCAGUAAAGAGUGAGCGUGAUCUUGUUAUUAGAAGUUAAAUAUGUCAAAAAAUGUUAUACUUCAUUGCAGAAAAACAAAUAUGUGUUUUUUUACUGAGACUUAUUUAUCUUGCUUCUUUUAAUAGUUAUAUAAAUUUAAUUUGCAGCAAAUGUAUUAAGUCAGAAUGUGAUUAUUGGAGGUAUCUUAAAAUAAAAAAUUUAUAUCAUUAUUCAUUAUUCAUUUUAUAGAUUUUUCUACCAUUUAAGACAGUAAGCAAGAUGCAAAGAAUUCGUAUUAAUAUUCAUUGACAAGCUUUUGCCCAUUGUUAUAGGAAACAAGUUCAGCUGUUCCUUUGUUCUCUCCAGUUAUUGUCCCAAUGGCUCAAAGCGUUGGUCCACCCCUAUCUGAUAUUUUUGCUUCGCCAACUCUACAUGCAGGCUCAGUAUUAUUACAUAAACUACCUUGCUCAGAUAUUGGGGAGACAUCUAUUUAUAUUUUCUAAGAGAAAAAUCAAAACUACCCUCUCUUGAGAUAUGUUAAAUUCAUCAAACAUAGAUUGUACUGAAAAUUUUUUCUUAUUUGGUGUAAUAUUUUAGCUAGGUCAAGAUAUGUGCUUCUUUAUAAAAUUCAAGUUCUAAUUUUAACUGCAUAUCAUGCUUCUUGCUUAUUGUCAAACAACUAAUUUUUUUAACAUCAUUAUUUAGGAUUGUUCCCUGGCCUAUUGAAUUGAUGAAUAUUAUUCAUCAUGUGACACGCGCUUCGGAGGGAACAUACAUUUAACAUUUUGCUGGUCAUUUGACCAUAACAAGGAGUAUUCCGUGAGUUCCUUAUUGUAAUUUUUAUAUUUUUAGACCUUUUUCCCCUCUUUUUGAGAAAUUUUUUUCUUUAGAGCAAUGCUAGGGGCAGCAACUUUUGUGAUUGAUAGCCAUCAAAUAGCCAUCAAUGAUGAUUUAAUGGUGUGAGAUUGGUGUGAGAUUUCAUCCAAUGACUCACCUUUCUCUGCUGGUUACAUGCUAGCCAAAAUUCAAUAAAAUUGCUGGCCCCCUAGACUUUUCCUUUUCUUUAACUAUGUAUUCUGGACCCGAUUCUUAGGCUUCGAAUCGGAGCAGCCACAACCUGGUUACUCGGACAUGGGUCACCAUCUCUGUCCAGAUUGGUCUAGUAGUCAUAAGUCUCUAACCAACAUCUGAAAUUCAAACACUUUUCUUAUCUUAGUCCAUAAGAUAAGAUAAAAUAAUAACAAUAAACUAUAUAAAGGGAGGUAGGGGCUUCCCCAAGUACACUACACAUUCCUAUCCUUGACCUAUACCUCUUAAAUUCAUUUUUAUUUGAGUAUCGGAGUAUCUUUGCAGGUACCACUCCUGCCGCUCUAAGAGUCCGACCCCAUUACCAUCAAGGCCAACAGGUCUCUGAUCCUCCUCUUAACUGUACCAGCAAAGUCCUAUACAUUGGCGCCGUAUAUGGGGAUAUGUCAAAUCAUAGUGGCAUGUCAGAAGAACUCGAGAAGCAGUCCUCAAGCUAUCACCACGAGCCAGACUCACCAAACUCGACAAACCAGACUCGCGGAAGGAUAACCAACGCCAUGCAAGUCUGGCCAACCCUUAACAAACAGCAACCGCGAGAGAAUGAUCGCUAACUCGAUGAGGCCAGAGGGCCGACGGCCUAGGAGAAAAGGCGAUCCAGAUAAUACAUGAGCUCUACCAAAGAGUGCAAACCCUAGAAGGCUAAGUAGCUUCCAAAGAGCGCUACCACCCAGAUCACGCAAGUCAAGUGACCUCCAAGAGCCCCUCGCGUGCGAGAAACCAAGAAUGAGAGAUCGCCUAAGCAACGCCAUGGCAGAUGCCGGGAUCGCAGCUUUUCCUGGGAGCCCGAGGGCGAGCGCAAUGACGACGAAUAGCGACACCGAAGAGACUGUAAACAGAGAAAGAAUGAACACGUGAUAAUGGGAGCUACCCCAUUCACUGAGAGAAUCCUAAGAGCUAAGUUACCAAAAGGCUUCGACAAGCCGACUGACAUAAAGUAUGACGGCACCAAAGACCCGCAGGAACAACUAAUGACCUUUGAGAACAGGAUGAACCUAGAAGGAGCUGCCAAUGCAGUUUGGUGUAGGGCCUUUUCGGUAACCCUAGCCAGCGCAGCAAUCAAGUGGUUUAACACCCUUCCAAACGGCUCGAUAGCCAGUUUUGAUGACGUCUCCAAGAAGUUCAGGGCACAAUUCACCACUAGGAUUGUGAAAGCAAAACACCCGAUCAGCCUGCUCGGAGUCACACAAUGACAAGACGAACCCACAAGAAAGUACCUAGACUGAUUCAACGACGAAUAUCUGACGGUCGACAGGCUUACAAACUCAGUGGCUAGUCUGUGUCUGACCAACGGGUUAACGAACGAGGACUUCCUGAAACACCUCACAACCAAGCCGGUCUGGAUAAUGCAUGAAAUCCAAAAGAUAGCGAGGGAUUACAUAAACGACGGAAAGGUAAGUCAAGUCGUGGCAGCCAAUAAACGGCACCAUGGUAAUACGACACCACGAAACAACCCGUCAUCCAAAGAAACCCCAAAAGAUCAUUUCAAAUCCACCGUCUCCUACCGGCUCCAAUAACGGAGAUCUACUACCAGAUAGGAGAACGGAGCAUCCUCUCGAUUCUCGAAGGCCCGACAACUGAAGGAACGAACAUGCGACAACGAAAUCCUGUAUUGCAACUAUCACAAAGGAUAUGGAUAUAAGACCCAAGAUUGUUUCGAUCUCAAAGACGCUCUCGAAUAAGCUAUCUGAGAUGGCAAAGUCCCCGAGUUUGCCAAAAUUAUUCGAGAUCCUAGAAAAGUCGAACGGGAGAGAUCACUCGAGCGGGAAAAGCACAAUCCCAGAAUGGUGAGAUCGACACAUGAGGAGAACCCAAAAACUGACGCGACGAUUGUGGUGAAUGUCAUCACCGGGAAGGAUGCCCAGGAAAAAUCCAAUUCAGCACUAAAAAAGGACCUCUAGUAGCUAGCUGUAAAAAACGGAAAAAAACACCCCUCCUUUUGACAAUGAUCACAUUUUUCCUCGACGAUUUAUUGAACGGCACUUUGGCGGAACAUGUCUCUUUCGUCAUAUCCACCAGAGUCAGGACUGGUUUGGUAAAACGUAUACUCGUAGACACAUGGGCCGAUUCCAACAUCCUUUUCAGGGGAGCUUUCGACAAAUUAGGAUUCUAAAACGAGAAUCUACAGAGUCACCACAACAGAGUGACCGGACUCAGAGACAACUUUCGCAAACUGGAUGGUUCCAUCGUAGUACCAAUCACCAUCGGAAACAGAAACCAAAAGAAGACCGUCCUUUCCAAGUUCGUAGUCCUAAAGGACUCCACGGGCUACAACAUCAUUCUAGGGAGGAAAAUAAUAAAUGAUCUUUCUGCUGCCAUAUUUACCAGGUUCCUAAUUAUGAAAUUUCAAGCUAAUAAUAAAACCACAGAAAUAGUAUAUGGUGACCACGAUGUUGCGAUAGAAUGUGACAACACCAGUUUAUUUCUCUGAAAGCGAUCCCGGUACGCAGCGGAAAUCUUCCUAGCUGACCUAGAUGCACGACAAGACGAUUAGCCAAGACCGGAGUCAGAGGAAGACAUGAAAAAGAUACAAAUAGAACAAACCAAAGAUAAAUUUACCUUUAUUAACAAGAAUCUACCUUCAACCUAAAAAGCGAACUCACGGAACUCCUGAAAGAGAUAAGAGAACUCCCAUUUAAUAUAAAAAUUUUCACAUAAAUAAUUGGGAAUAUUUGUGUAAAUGCUUAUGAAUACAACACUUUGGAACUUUUGUGCAAUGCGAAUCAAGUCAUCUCUGAAGUCAAAUUUGUAAGUUUUGGCUAACCACAAGGUCAAUGUAGAUUAUUUAAAAAAUUCAAAUAUGAAACUCUUAAUACUUUAAAACACUUGAAGAGAAAAUAUCUUAGCAAAUUCAAGUGUUCUGUUUAUAUUUCUUAGAAAGUUUUGAAAUUUAUUGGUUGGAGUAUUACACAAAAUAAACUUGCAGUUGAAGUUAUUUAUGCUACCACGGUUAGUAAUAUUGUCAAGAAAAAGUAGAUUUUUUUAAUUUAAGAAUAUUUUUCUAGGUUUGUUUAAUUAAUCACAUAAAAUUUUGGUUUAAUUAUUAGUAACACAACGUCUAUCCUCAACAACAAAUCACAUAGAAUAUGAACUCUUUUGAUUAGAAUGGGAAAGUAAGUUGAAAAACUCACGUAUCCAAAUAUUGAGACUGAGUUUUUUCUCGAACCUAAAGGAUUUGUUGUUGAGGAUCAGGUGUUGUGUUACUAAUAAUUAAACAAAAAUUUCAUGUGAUUAAUUAAACAAAAAGUAUUACCUAAAUUAAAAAGAUCAACGUAAGUAUUUGAACUUACAUAGUUGGAGGUUGUAAACUCUGUUUUUCUUUUCUUUUUUUUCAUGUCGUUUCUUUCUUCUAAAAAAUGCAACAGGGGUUUUGGGGAUAUUUUUCUAAUAAAAAAGAUACUAAAUUAAAAUCAUCAACCAAGAUUAAAAGCAGAGAAUUAAAUACACAUCAAAUUUAUUUUUGGAUUUAAAUGAACCUCAAUUAAACCUAUAAAUGAACCAAAAUUACUUCAGAAUUGAACCUCAAGUAAACUCUAUUUUUCAAGGGUACUUUUCUAAUAAAAAAAGAUACAAAACUAAAAUCAUCAACCAAGAUAUUCCAAUUAAAAGUAGAAGAUGUAAAUAAAAGUUAAGAGGAAUUACUUGGUAUUGCUCAGUGCAUUCACAGACGGUGCCAAGCUCGUCUAUAUUUGUGACACAGGUUCGGUUUCGCUGCCAAAAUUUAUAGUCGACAGUCUAAGCAAAUAAAUAAAUAAAUAAAUAAAUAAAUAAAUAUUACUCAGUAAAUCCAAAGAAAUUAUAUGAGGUUUUAGGAAAAGUUAACAGAGAAAGUAAAAGAACUUUAUAUAAGAAACUCAAUCUUACGUCUGCGAUAAAUCAUAUUGUGCAUCUAUCGGGUUACAGUCAUCCAGAGUAACAUUUGUUUUUUCAGCGCAAUCAUUUUUUCUCUUCGUUCUUCUAUUUUUUGUUUUUUUUUUUCAGCACCUGUCUCCUUUACUCAUUCGUUUAUGAAAAUCCAUACAAUAAGUUUUGAUUUAAACUUAGGAUGAACCAUAAUUAAAAAAUAAACGAAUCGAAAUUAUUUUAGAUUUGAACAAGCAGACAAAUAGAUCAUCAACAAAAAUAAAUCGAAUGUGUACUAGUGACAAAUAUCAGAGCUGUAACUAACUUAACAAGCACACAUGAACAAUUUUUAGCAAAUCCAAGUGAAACUAAACCAAAUGAACUUCAAAUAAACAUAAAAAUGAACCGAAAAUAAUAAUUUCCAAAUCCUACUCGUCUUCGGAUUCAGUUUUGCUUUCCGAAUUCGUCAGAACAAUCUUCCUUUUUUUGGUUUGUUUUUUUGCCACCCUUUGUGGUCGUUUUCUUUUCUUUGGUAGUGUUUUUUCGAUUUCUUCUUCUUCUCUGCGAUACAUACAAAAAGUUUUGUUAAAAUAACAAUAUAAAACUUUAAAUAAGUAGAUAGUUUUUAAUAGGGAAGGUGGUGACAAGUAUACUCAGAUUCAGUAAAACUGUCUUCUUCCGAAGACGAAUGCAAGACGACACUUUUCUUUUUUUUCUUUUCUUUUUCUUUUCUUUCUUUUCCCCCUUCUUUUGUUCUAUCUCCCCCUCCUAAUUAUGCUCUUUUCAAAAGUCCCUAAAAUAUAAACUUAUUUAAUUAGCCAAUUUUUUAGAAGCAUCUGAACCAAACUUUUAAGGGAAAUUAUUUUUUUAAUUACCAUGGCAUUACUUGUUUCCAAAGCAAUCCACUCGACCAGCCUCCUCCGUGUCCAAUACACCACCCAUGGUGGCUCUGGAGCAUCAUCUGCCUCUGGAUCAGGAAACUUCGUUUCAUGAAAAUAUAUUAAUAUUAAAACGAAGACGCAUCCAUCAACCGAGAGUUUUUUUCUUGCUCUCUGGGUUUUGAUCCCCUUUCAUCAGGAAGCUCAGCACAUGAGACGCCCAAUUCCAUUGUUGGACUGUGUCCACAUGAAGAGCAGGAGGUUUAUAUAUGGAUCGGGAAGACUGUGCUUACUGUUGUUGGCAGUAAGAAGCAUUUUUGGACAAAGACAACGAAUGUCUUCUUGAAUUUCAGCAAGUUCGCCUCGCCUUCAAUACUCAUAUCAAUGACAGAUUUUGUCAAAGAUGCCAAAGUAGCACCUUUAAAGCCGUCAAUAAUCUCUUUCUGUUUCUCACUCAGUUUGCUGUAUGCAACUUUUUUUUUUUUUGAAAAAUGAUCCCCUACAAUAUUUUAAUAUAAACAAAUUAGUCAAAAAGGAUUAGUUCAUUUUCCAUAUUCAAAUGAACCUCAAAUAAACAAGGAAUGAACCGAAAUAACUUAAGGAAUAACAAAAAGAUAAAAAAAAUACAAAUGUAAAAGAGAGUGUUCAAGCAUCCAUGAUAGGCAUCAAAGCAACGAAUCAAUUCCCUCAAGAGCUUGUGAGAGAUGUUCAAUUUUAGGAUAUGUACUAGCGCACGAAUCUCAUUUCUUCAACAAUAGUUUUCUUUUCUACACUCAAUUCUUUGAACAUCCUAGCUAUUGAUUUUGUUGAGUAUCUCAAAUCCUGAGUUUUUUGCAAGGAUUUGAAACAUUAUGUUAUGAUAUAUUUAUAAUGCCAAAAUAGAGUUGAUUUAUUAUGUAUAUGCUUACAUUAUAAUGCGGCUUCUCCUUUUUUGAGACAGUCAUCUUUUGCAGUUUUGCUAUAGGGAACAAAAAUUUGGUCAAUACUCCAAAUACUUAACAGUAGUAUCAAAUGAACCUAACUCAAUUCACAAAUAAACCGAAUUUGGUUCAUAUUUGAACAAAACCUCAUAAACAUUCAAUCAGCAAAAAAAGUACAUUUUCAAUUGAUUUCAGCAUGCAAACGAACUCAAAUAAAUUAAGAGAUGAACCAAAGUAUUUAUCAGAACCAAAUACUUACGUUUGUCUUUUUAAUUUAGGUAAUAAUUUUUGUUUAAUUAAUCAAAUGAAAUUUUUGUUUAAUUAUUAGUAGCACAACACAUGAUUCUUAACAACAAAUCCUUGCGGUUCAAGAAGAAACUCACUCUCAACCUUUUGAUAUGUGAGUUUUUCAACUUACUUUCCUAUUCUAAUAAAAAGAGUUCUUAUUCUAAUCAUUCAACAUUAACUUCUUGCUUGUUUAUCUUCAUUAGAGUUCCUAUUGUAAUGGCUCUUCCAAAUUCUCUUGUGGAAGAGAUAAUGAAACAUCAAAAGAUUGUUACCUCUGUCCCUUGGAAAACUCAAACAGAAAAAGCUUCUGUUAAUAAGUAAGUUGUACUUAAAAUUUUUUUUAUUAGUUUUGAUGGUAUAUGAGAAUAAUUUCAAUUUAUUAUUGAACACUUUUCUGUUUAAUCCAGCUGCCCUGCGGAACCCUAACACCAGGCAUGUGAAGAAACUUCGACAAUGAAAUUGGAGCAAGAAGCUCCUCUUAAUGUGUAAGUUCCACUUAAAAUCCUUUUACUAGUUUUGAUAGUAUAUAAUAGUAAUUUUGCUUUAUUAUUGAACUCUUUUCUGUUUAAUACAGCUGCCCUUCGAAACCCCAAUAGCAAGCCUGCGAAGAAGCUUUGGUAAGGCAAUCGGAGCAAGAAGCUCCUCUUAAUGUGUAAGUUUUACUUAAAAUCGUUUUGAUUACUUUUAAUGGUAUAUAAUAGUAAUUUUGGUUUAUUCCUUAGUUUAUUUGAGGUUCAUUUGAAAUCUAGGAAUGAAUUCGAUGUGUUCUUGUUGAUGAUUGAGCAUUUUUUACUGCUAGUUCAAAUCUGAAGUAAUUUUGCCUCAUUAUUGAACUCUUUUCUAUUUAAUACAACUGUCCUCUGGAAUCCCAACACCAGGCUUGCGAAGAAUCUUCCGCAAGAAGCUCCAACAGAUAUUGUGCUAAGCCAAAUUUUUUAUUCCUUAAAUAAUUUUUUGAAUUUUUUUUUUGUUGAUGACUGAGCUUUCUUGACUGCUAGUUUAAAUCUGAUGUAAUUUCUGUUCAUCUCUUAGUUUAGUUGAGUUCAUUUACAUGCAGAAAUGAAUUAAAAAUGUGUUUUUCUUGCUGAUUAAUGUUUAUGAUGUUUUGUUCAAAUCUGAAUCAAAUUCGAUUAAUUUCUUAGUUUAGUUGAGGUUCAUUUGAAUCCAGAAAUGAAUUUGACGUGUUCUUGUUGAUGAUUGAGCUUUUUUUACUGCUAGUUCAAAUCUGAUGUAAUUUUGGUUCAUUUGUGAUUUAACUGAGGUUUAUUUUGCAUAAUUUAAUGCUGGGGAGGCACGAUGUUGAAUACAUUGAUCCAAACACUAAGAAGGCCCACCGGAUCAGUGAAUUUAAGGACUUCCUGCCUUUUCUGGACAAAAGAAAACUGGCAUCGCAUCUAUUUGUAAGUUGUGAUUUCAAAAACUUAUUUAAUAAUUUUGUUGUUUGCUAUCAUUUAGACAAAAAUAUUCUAUCUUUUUUCCAAACUUCAGCUGUUUGCACCAGUUUGUAAUGAAGGCCAUUGGUGGUUGUCGAUUUCUGAUGUUAAGAAGAAUGCCAUCUAUGUGCUUGACCCGUCAAGAGAAAGAAAAAUGAAAUACCUCAGUCAAGAAUAGUUUUAAAAAAAUUUGUUGUAAGUUAUCUCUAAUUUCUAUCCAUUAUCAAUCAUUCAUUGUGCUUGAUUGAGCGUUGUUUGUGGGCUUGGUUUUCUUCAAUUAUUAUUGAAUUGAAAUAUGCUUUUUGUAUCUUUUUCAGAACUUAAUAGUAUCCCAGAUGAGAGUUUAUGUUGGGGCGGAACCUUUGAUGGAUGACAGAGAGGGCGUUGAAUUACGAUCUGUAGUAAACGAACAUCGUAGAUAUCUUUCUUUCCUAUAGUACUAUUAUUAAUAUGCUUUAUUAUGCUUUUAUGUGUCUCUCCUAUUAAUCGUAUUUUACUUUUUUUAUUUCUUUCUUAGUUAUGAUUGCGGGAUAUAUGUGAUGAAAUGACUGGAAACAAUUAAUCAUGAAAAGAUAAAAAAUGAAAAAUAUAAAUGUAAAAAUUGGAAACUGGUAAGUAAUUUCUAAAUUAAUAAAUUUCGGUUCAUUUCUUACUUUAUUUGGGUUCAAAUCAAGUAAUUUCUUUCAAUUGAAUUGUAGGAAGAAAUAGAUGCUUUCAGGCGGGAAUAUGGUCCAACCAUUCUCUUGGACAAGGUAAAUAAAUUGAGUGUAAUACCCUAACUACCAAAGUUCACACUUCCGGCUGCGCGACUCUGAUAGCUCGGACAUUACGACGACUUUUAUACUAUUUAAUACUAAAAUAUGAGCCCGUUUAAAACUUUUAAACCGCAACACCGCUCCCAAAAAUACUUUCGUUCGAUAACGUACAUCCAUAAAUACCAUACAACUUACAAAACUCAUAAAGAGUACAUAUAUAUAUAUAUAUAUAUAUAUAUAUAUAUAUAUAUAUAUAUAUAUAUAUACAUACAUAAUAUUAGAGUCAUUAUCCAAUACAAUUCCUAUCCCUCUUACAGAUUAUAUCAAGAUAAAGGCGAUGGUACAAUAAACCAUAACUAAAACAAUACAGAGCAUCUCGACAACAAAUAAAUAAACUCUUCGUAACUUCUGCGCCCAUAUCCUGAAAGGGGAAAAAUGUAGGGGGGUGAGAACAUCAUCCUCGAAAGGGUUCUCAGUAGAGGGUUUUUGGGAAUUACUGUAAUAGGAUACGUGAAGAUAAUUGCACCAGUGAUUCAUAACCGUCUUAUGCCUCUUUUCAAAAACAACAGUUUCCAAUAGAAGUAAAGUCGGGAAUCUUUUCUAAAAGAGGAACCGUUCAAUUCUCAAAACUCAAAAGUCUUUCAAAACGGUUUAUCUAUGCUAAAACAAAGUAGCCUUUCAUAUUUUAUUCCAAACCAGAAACACAAAACUGAAAUCAACCAUCGGUUCAUCUCAUUCCAACCACGGCCCUAGGCCCAAAUAAUCCAACCAACAACCAAUCACCACAAUCCAACAGAGUCCCAGAUGCAAACAUAGAUAGGAAGUUCAAGCACAAGCAAAUAGUUAUUACAAGUAGAACAGUUAGCAAUUACUCACAUAGGCAAGCCAAGUAUAACAUGUACACCCAAACAAUGUCACAUAAAUGCAUAUGAUGCAUGCCUGUCCCUAGUGGCUGAUGAUAUCAUCUGUCGGUUAUAGAGCCAACCCGACAAGUCCUGGUAGUUAGCCAUUGGACUGUCCCUCUGUCGGGUCUCCCCAACUCGAGUUAUACUCAAUAUAAGCUUGAUCAUAAUCAUGAUCCAUAUCCAUCACCCUCACUGGUGAAUAUUUAUCCAUCACCAUCACUGGUGAAUAUUUAUCCAUCACCAUCACUGGUGAAUAUUUAUCCAUCACCAUUACUGGUGAAUAUUUAUGGGGGUGAGCUCGUCCGGGAAUUUCACAGUGCCCGGCCACCCUGACGACAUAGGGAAACUCAAAUCUCCGAUAGUGAAAGUGCAAAUCACAAUUAUCAAUAUCUCACCAUAGGUGCUUUCAUUCUCAGCCAUGGAUCAACAUCCAUCUCAGCCAUCCAGCUCUCAGUUCAAUCCAGAACCAGCCAAUAUUCAUAAUCAUACACAGCCAUUUCGGCUCACAACAAAACAGCACUUCCACAUUCAAAAUCAUCAAAUUCAUGAAAUUGGCAUUUAAGCCAUAAAUCAUUUUCUGAAUUCAUUUCACUUUGAAAUCAAGUUUCAACUCUUUUCAGCCUUGGCUUUAGAAAUCUCGUUUCUCAAAUCAUCUCAGGCUCAUAAGCCAAAUUUACUCAAAGUGAGUUCCCUUUUUUAAAACAUAGCCACUCCCGGCAUUCUCUUUCCAAAACUUCCAAAACCAUGGAAAGUUAAAGAUUCCUUUUGAAACAUUCAAAACCACCCAUCCAACAAUGGGAUUUUUGUAACAAAAGUUCCUCGGCAAAGUCCCAAGUCCUUAGGGAAGAAUAACAACUCAUUUUGCCAAAUUCAUUUAAAAUCAUUAAAAAUCUUGGCUUCCUUAUUUGGGUAGUAAAAUAGGAUCCAAGCCAAUCCGAGUCAUGUAAUCAAUUACUCUUUUCAAAACCAUUUCCUUUUCUUAAACAAAAACCGGCUUCAAUUCCAUAAUUAAACCUGAGCGUUUCAAACUGAUAAGAGAAUCAUUUUUGUUGUGUUAAACUAGAGUUCAAAGGGUACUCUGAAUCUUAUUCAAAACGUCAAAAUAAUGAGGUUCGUCAAUCGAGAUCCAGUUCCUUUUAAAAUCACGAAAACUCUUCCAAUGGACACUAUUUAUGUUUAAUAGAGAAAAACAUAAACCAGUUUUUCCUUUUUAAAACAGCCUCAAGGCAAAAUUCCUUUUCGAAUAACUUGUACCCAAAGACAUACUAUUCUUCUCGGAAAAGUAAGGAGGAAUCAUGAUUCUCUUUUCAAUAAUUCUUCCAAAGCGUAGCUUCAUCGCUUUCAUAAUUGUUCUAAGUAAAAAUAAUAAAAGAAGCCAUAAAUUCACAAUCCUCCAAGUAAAUAGGAAAGGCAUUAAACUCCAAAUUUCCCAAAUAACAUUUCAAAUAAAGCCUCGGAAUUUAUAGAAAUUUCGGCAGCAUCUCCCCUAAAACUUGGACUUUGCCACCCGGUUUGAGUCCCAACUAAACCGUUCCUCAAUCCUUUUCAACAGUCCAGAACCCAAAAAUCAAUUUAAAAUCACGCUAAAUCCAACAGUCGUCUCAGUGGCAUAUCUCAAGGAAACCAUUUCGAAAUCAAAUCAAUGUCAACCGAUUUAACUAAUUUCCAAAGCUUUAAGGAAACGGCUCAAUAACAAAUCAUUUGUCCAAACCAAGUCAAUUAAAGUAAACCAGGCUGAAUUCAAAAGUGCGUCUGACUUUUCACAUUAUCAAAAUAAUUGACUCAAUUCAAAUCAAUGCUCAACGGAUCAAACUCAGAUUUCAAAUCUUUAAAGAAUCAACUUCAAAACAUUACAUUUCACAAAGCCGCACAACAAUUCAACCAAACCAACAUCCAUAAUCACUCGAGUCAAUCAAAUAACACAUAAGGCAGAUACAAUCACCAAAUACCAAUUGUCUCACAUCAGUAUCCAUAUGUAAUAAUUCCAAUACAUAAAACAUAGUUUUUGGAAAGCGCCCCUACCUCAACACGCAAAUCCAUAACCCAAACGUCUCACAGAGUCCUUUUUGCCUCAACUCGAAAUCACCGGCAACCAAAACCUCAGCUCCCAGUCACUUUCGCAAUAACCAUAGCACACUAAUCACAAUAUAUAAUAAUCAGGACUCGACCCCACGUUACCAAAACUCAUUUAUUAACCAAACACAACCGAAGACUAACGCGAGACUUUUCGAAACAUAAUUUCUUACCGGAAUAACAACACGAAGCAGCUGCGAUUUCGAACCGGCCCCGGCAACAGCUCCGGCGGCGGCCAGAAGCUCCGGUGGAUCAACUAUAGAAACCACGUAACAUCAAAACCUUAUCAAGAUCCAAAAUGACCAAAACCACAAAUUAAAACCCCUUUACCUCAAAGUCAAAACUCGCAGAAAUCACUAAACAGAGUAGCUCCAUCAUAGUGGCUGGUACCGCAGCGACCCAGGCAGCGGCAUGAUAUGUGUUUUUGUGGAAAAACGAAUUUUCCAAAACACCCAAAUCUAACCGGCAAGUAUACCGGGUCGCAUCAAGUAGUAAAACUCACGUGAGUGAGGUCGAUCCCACAGGGAUUGAUGGAUCAAGCAACUUUAGUGGGUGAUUAGUUUAGUCAAGCUAACAUUGAGUGAAUUGUGUGAUAAUUGGUGCAGCAGAAAGUAAAUAACUAGAGAAUUUAAAGUGCAGGAAGUAAAUAGGCAGAAAACUUGAAGAGCAAGAAAUGUAAAUUGCAAGAAUAUUAAAUUGCAAGAAAAGUAAAAUUGCAUUAAAUGUAAAGGGGAGUGGGUGCUGGAAAUUAAAAGAAAGCAGUAGAUCAAGUAACUGGAAAGUUAAAUUGCAAGAAGAAUAAAAGGAAUUAGGAUUCGGGAUGCACAAUUAAACAAGGAACUAUGCAGAGCAAUAAAUCCGAGGAAGUAAUAAAAUGCAAUAGAUCUCAACAGAGAAGGAAAAUUGCUUAAAGAAGCAAAACAGAAAUAUAACUCAAUUGCAAAAUCUAAAUGAGAGGUUGAAGAUCUCAGAGGUUGGAAGAGACUAGAAAACAAGUCUAGAUCUCGAAUCCUUCCUUGAUCCAAUAAAGAACAAUUUGCAAAAGAAAUGAAGAUGAAAGCAGUAAACAGAGUGUUGAUUCAAAUCCUUAAUUCACUGAACUUUUGUAGAAGAAGAACAAGAGAAAUCUCAAAGUGAGAAUGAAAUAGAAUUCCUUCAAUUCUCCAACCCAAGAUCUAAGACAAAUGUAAUUGAAAUUGAAAACAAGAAAACUAAGAGGAAGAGAAUUCAAUUCUCCUACUCCGAAACUCAGAAACUCAAAACAAUUCAAAACCAAAAUUCUCCAAAAACAAAUCAGUAAAACUAAAAGGGAAAGCUCCCCUAAAAACUUAAAUCCUAAGCUAUUUAUACACUUUCUUCAAAUGGUCUUCAAGCCUUGAAUUGGGCCUUUGCUCUUGAUGGAAUUGGGUUGAUAAAAGCCUCUGUUGAUUGCUCUUGGAGUUGGAGAGAAACCCAUUGUGAACCGGGCCAAGAAUCAUAAAAGCUUGAGUCAAAGUUUGAGGCAAACUUUUGCUCAAGCUUUUUAUAUCAGCCACCCCCUUUUGCUGAUAUCCACGUUUGAGCUAAAGUUUGAGGUCAAACUUUUAGCCAAACAUGGAUCCCCUUGUGUGCAUGUGUGGGGUGCUACUUUGUCCUCUUGUCAACGUUGCCAAUUUCAUGCCAACUAUAGACUAUUAUAUAUGGUUGGAAAGCUCUGAAUGUCAGCUUUCUAACCCAAUUAGAAUCACCUCAAUUGGACAUCUACAACUCAAGUUAUGCCCCUUUGAAGAGGACAGGGUCGCUGGCUUUGGUGUGCAGCGUUUGAGGUAAAGUUUGCCUCAAACGUGGUCGAAAACGCCAGUUCUGGAGGCUCAAACGUAUUGUCCAUCCCAUACUAUUAUAUAUUGUUGGAAAGUCCUGAAUGUCUACUUUCCAAUACCGUUGGGAGCGCAUCAUUUGGAGCUCUACAGCUCGAGUUAUACUCCGUCGAAGGUGCAGAGGUCAAUUGGCCUCAUUGCAGGUUGCCACCAUGUUCGUUUAUGCUCAUUGCGGGGCAGUUUUCUCCCUCAAUUUUAGUGUCCACCAUGUAGUGCCAUAUAUGCUUGGAAAGCUCUCGAUUCCUACUUUCCAUUGCUUUUUGAAUCACCUCAUUUGGAGCUCUGUAGCUCAAGUUAUUCUUAUUGGAAGUAUACCCCUUCAGGCUGUUGUGGCGCCAACGUUUGCCAAAAAGCUUGAGGCAAACGUUGGUGCAAGCUUUUUCUCCCCUGGGUAUGUUGGUGUGGCACCAACGUUUGCCUCAAGCUUUUUGGCAAACAUUGACUCAAGCUUUUUCCUCCAGGGUGUUUUCAAUUCUUCCAAAAGUUUGAGCUAAAGUUUGAGGCAAACUUUGGCUCAAACUUUUUUCCUCUGGGAUGUUUUCAACUCUUCCAAAAGUUUGAGCAAAAGUUUGAGGCAAACUUUGGCUCAAACUUUUUGUUCUCUCUUGCUCCUAGCUAUUCUUGCAACCAUAUGUCAAUUUAUUGAAAUUUAAACUAAACAAAGGAAGAAAACAAAGCAGAAAAAAAUGUUACCUACGGUUUGGUUACCUCCCAACAAGUGCUCUUUUAGUGUCAUUAGCUUGACAUGUUGUUCUUCACUUUCUUCCUCUUUUUCCAGUUUGUUAAGAGGAAUGACCUCAAAGGAGGGAAGGAUUCAGCUAGUGUCCCUUGUCUUGGCCUUUCCUCAGCAAGCUUCCUUUUACAAAUGGCUUGAUUGAUCUUGCUCGCUGGAUUAGGGACAGAUUUGGUGUUCUUGCUAGUUGCCUUCACUUCUUUGGAUUCAAGACUUGGUUGCUGUGUGAUUAUUGGAGUUUUGUAUUCAUCCAGAGCCUUUUGAACUGGUGGUUCCAUGAACUCCUCCUUCAUGUACUUCUCUGCCUCACUUGAGUUUGGAAUGACUUCCUCACUUUCUUACUCCUCCACUUCCUCUUUUACACUCAACAUUUGUUUUAAUAGCUCUUUCAUGGAGGAGGUUUGUUGAUCUUCCCAACAUUUCUUCAUCUCCUCUUCAUAUCUUUUAAUCUCAGAUUCAAUUGUUGAGACUUUUUGGUCCAGGGGGAUUUGAGGAGGUUGUGAGUGUUCAGGUUCUUUUGUCACCUCAAGUGCAGUUUCAUUUUCAACUAUUUCCACCACCUCUUUCUUUUUCACUAAAAAUUCACUUGACUCAGUAGCCUCUUCCUCUUGUUUUUCCUUCUUCUUCAUUGCACUCACCAAUUGGCCUAAUUACGCUUCCAUGUUUUUGAGGGAGUUCUCUCGUUCUUUCCAGACUUUCAUUGUCUUCUCCUCAUAUCUUUUGAACAUGGUCUCAAGCUUUGAGAGGCUUUGGUUCAUGGAAGUUUGUGUGGGUGGUGAGUUUUGAAAGGGGCUUUCUGUUGAAGCAUGGUCAAGUGAUGAUAACUUUGGAUGAAUAUCAUAUGGAGCAUUAGAAUUCCCUUCCCAGCCACCAUUAGAAUCAUGACUUGCAUCAUUUUGUGGUGGAAGGAAAUAUUCCAUAUGGUUUUCUUGCUCAUCUUGUGUCUCUGAAGCAAAUCUCCAUGGAUUGGAGUGCUUAGAAUUUGUAUUUUCUUGGUGAUAUUCCCAGCCACCAUUAGAGAUUGGUGAUGGUGGGUGAUAUCCCAUAAAAUUUUGUUUGACCAUAAGAUGAGUUGAACUCCAUUUGUAUUUUGUAAACAUCAAUGAAAUUCGAAAUUCAUGUCAUAGAGAAAGAAUUUCUUAGUGAGGCAAUAACUCAAACACCUUGGUUUCAACUUAGAACAGAGAAGAAAAAUAAAGAAAAUGCUUGAUCUAGACUUCUCACCCACUUAAUCAUUGUUGAUCUAAAUCAAUCCCCGGCAACGGCGCCAAAAACUUGAUGUGUGUUUUUGUGGAAAAACGAAUUUUUCAAAACACCCAAAUCUAACCGGCAAGUAUACCGGGUCACAUCAAGUAGUAAAUCUCACGUGAGUGAGGUCGAUCCCACAGGGAUUGAUGGAUCAAGCAACUUUAGUGGGUGAUUAGUUUAGUCAAGCUAACAUUGAGUGAAUUGUGUGAUAAUUGGUGCAGCAGAAAGUAAAUAACAAGAGAAUUUAAAGUGCAGGAAGUAAAUGGGCAGAAAACUUGAAGAGCAAGAAAUGUAAAUUGCAAGAAUAUUAAAUUGCAAGAAAAGUAAAAUUGCAUUAAAUGUAAAGGGGAGUGGGUGCUGGAAAUUAAAAGAAAGCAGUAGAUCAAGUAACUGGAAAGUUAAAUUGCAAGAAGAAUAAAAGGAAUUAGGAUUCGGGAUGCACAAUUAAACAAGGAACUAUGCAGAGCAAUAAAUCCGAGGAAGUAAUAAAAUGCAAUAGAUCUCAACAGAGAAGGAAAAUUGCUUAAAGAAGCAAAACAGAAAUAUAACUCAAUUGCAAAAUCUAAAUGAGAGGUUGAAGAUCUCAGGGGUUGGAAGAGACUAGAAAACAAGUCUAGAUCUCGAAUCCUUCCUUGAUCCAAUAAAGAACAAUUUGCAAAAGAAAUGAAGAUGAAAGCAGUAAAUAGAGUGUUGAUUCAAAUCCUUAAUUCACUGAACUUUUGUAGAAGAAGAACAAGAGAAAUCUCAAAGUGAGAAUGAAACAGAAUUCCUUCAAUUCUCCAACCCAAGAUCCAAGACAAAUGUAAUUGAAAUUGAAAACAAGAAAACUAAGAGGAAGAGAAUUCAAUUCUCCUACUCCGAAACUCAAAAACUCAAAACAAUUCAAAACCAAAAGUUCUCCAAAAACUACUCAGUAAAACUAAAAGGGAAAGCUCCCCUAAAAACUUAAAUCCUAAGCUAUUUAUACACUUUCUUCAAAUGGUCUUCAAGCCUUGAAUUGGGCCUUUGCUCUUGAUGGAAUUGGGUUGAUAAAAGCCUCUGUUGAUUGCUCUUGGAGUUGGAGAGAAACCCAUUGUGAACCGGGCCAAGAAUCAUAAAAGCUUGAGUCAAAGUUUCAGGCAAACUUUUGCUCAAGCUUUUUAUAUCAGCCACCCCCUUUUGCUGAUAUCCACGUUUGAGCUAAAGUUUGAGGUCAAACUUUUAGCCAAACGUGGAUCCCCUUGUGUGCAUGUGUGGGGUGCUACUUUGUCCUCUUGUCAACGUUGCCAAUUUCAUGCCAACUAUAGACUAUUAUAUAUGGUUGGAACGUUCUGAAUGUCAGCUUUCUAACCCAAUUGGAAUCACCUCAAUUGGACAUCUACAACUCAAGUUAUGCCCCUUUGAAGAGGACAGGGUCGCUGGCUUUGGUGUGCAGCGUUUGAGGUAAAGUUUGCCUCAAACGUGGUCGAAAACGCCAGUUCUGGAGGCUCAAACGUAUUGUCCAUCCCAUACUAUUAUAUAUUGUUAGAAAGCUCUGAAUGUCUACUUUCCAAUGCCGUUGGGAGCGCAUCAUUUGGAGCUCUACAGCUCGAGUUAUACUCCGUCGAAGGUGCAGAGGUCAGUUGGCCUCACUGCAGGUUGCCACCAUGUUCGUUUAUGCUCAUUGCGGGGCAGUUUUCUCCUGCCAUAUAUGCUUGGAAAGCUCUCGAUUCCUACUUUCCAUUGCUUUUUGAAUCACCUCAUUUGGAGCUCUGUAGCUCAAGUUAUUCUUGUUGGAAGUAUACCCCUUCAGGCUGUUGUGGCGCCAACGUUUGCCAAAAAGCUUGAGGCAAACGUUGGCGCAAGCUUUUUCUCCCCUGGGUAUGUUGGUGUGGCACCAACAUUUGCCAAAAAGCUCUUGCUCCUAGCCAUUCCUUCUUCCUUCAACCUUCUUCAAAACUCUUUUCACCUAUCAUCAAUCAAUCAAAACAAUCAAAGCUAUGCCCCAAAUCAUAAGAUUGUGUUUCUUUCAUAAUAUAUGACAAUUAUAGCACAAAAUCUCAUGAAAGUGCAUUAAUUCAUCCAUGGUUGAAUGAAUCAAAGGAAACAUGGAAAUCUACCCAAUUGGCUUGCUUAUGGCUUAAGAAAGUGCAUAAAACCUAUUGAAAACAAAAGAAAAAGCAUAGAAAAACAUGACAUGGUGACAUGUCAUCACGGCACCAACUGAACAACAACCCCGAUGAUGGCAGAGGCUCCGACAGCGGCGAGAAUCAGGAGCAGAGGCAGAGCUGAGCAUAUCUCCCAUUCAAACCUCCAAAAGAAGCACCAGCUCCAACAACUCGAUGGUGGUAGUGGCUGACUUCAAUACUGGCGACGCCGGGCAGAACAGCGACAACGACAAGGGAACAAACGGUGGCGCUAGAACGCCGGCAACAAAACCCUAGUAGCAGUGGCAGCCGGAGCGUUUUUCUUCCUCUGUGCAUCCCUGAGCCGCAGGUCUUCUCGCUCUUCCUUGGACGGCGACGCACAGCAAUGGGACCCAGCAGCGGCGUAGGAUGGCAGAAUCGUGACUGGGCAGGGACGAAAGGCAUGGCUUCGACAGCGGCGCUCCUCGCGUGUGGCAGAACGCGACGGCAAUGAAGCCUCAUCUCCCUCCUUCGCGUCACUCUCCUCCCCUGGCGACAGCAACGGCGACGGCACUCCUCGCUGGCACCACACCGUCCUUCUUCUCCGAUUCCUCUCCCCACUUCCCUCCAUGGUUUGACGAUGGCGCGACGGCGGCAGUGAGGCCAGCACGCCGGCGCGAGUCUUCCUCUCCUCCUCCGGCGAUCUCCUUUCCUCCACACACGGCGAACUCCUUUCCUUCUCUCUCAAAUGCGUUUGUUUCUUUCUUUCUUUUCCUUUUGCUUCUGCGUGUGGGUGUCUAGGGUAGAGGGGCGCAGCUGCUGCUGCUUGGGUUUGAGGGAGAAAGAAACCGGGUCGGGUAAUGGGUCGUUGGGUUAGGGUUUCAUUUUCAAAAAUUAGGGUUAAGGACAUUUUAGUAAUUUUAUUUAAAAAUAAGGGUAAUAUAGUAAUUAGAAAUAAAUUAUAACCCAACAAUAAUAAUGUAUAAAAAUACUAUUUACUCAUCAAUCUUACACUUUAUUUUCAAUAAAAUAUCCAAAUCAAAAUAAUUAGAAAUAAUAUAAUUAAACCCUUUAUUUUCCAAAGUAACAGUAUUAAUCUUUAAAAUAUUAAUUAUUUAAUCCGAAUCAUAUAAAAAUCCUUAUUAUUUCACAACUACCAACUUUAUAAUAUAAUUAUAGAAAAUAAUCCAAUAAUUAUCAAAUUGGAUAAUAAAUCAUAACUUGUCUCAAAUUCAAUAAAUCACACUUGCCUUAAUUAUCUUUAAUAAAAUGAUUUCCGAAAUUAAGGCUAUAAAUAACUAUAUGAUUUGACACUUGAUCAUAAUAAGACUUUUUAAAAGUUCUGGGUCUUACAUCCUACCCACCUUAUAAAAAUUUUCGCCCUCGAAAAUUGAUACAAAAUGAAAGAAAUUCCAUAACAGUUCACCCUUGAACACAUUUAAGGAAGAAGCAAAAAUAUCUCAAUAUAAUCAUUUAUACGAUUUUCAAAUACUUUGAUUGUCAUAAGCAUAAGGAUGUAAAGGUAGGAGUGUGAUUGCAAAGCAAACGUUACAAGGUAGGCUCAAUGCAAAAGAUAACAUGGGUCAAACAUGUGAUAGUAAGGUAAGGUAUUGAAGGUUAUAAAACAGGAUGAGGUUACAACGACGUGCUCAACAUCUGCACACUAAUCUCAUCUUAACCUCAAUGCUUCAACUUUCCAACCUCAUCAGGCACUUUUCAAUCCCCAAAACCGAUCAUAAGCCUAACGACCGCAAGCCCGUUCGCAAGGAACCAAACGCCCACAACUCAUAAGGUUGCAUACCUACCGCUUCCACUUCCGUAUAUACAUAUCACGUCUUAAAGAACUAACGCAUCGCGUUAUGUAUACGUCUACAAGUCGCAUGUGAUAUCAAAACAAUUCUCGAGUCUACUCAGAAGGAUACAAGAUUUAGAAAGGAGAGUCAAAUGUCAGGGAUAGCAAUAAUAGAUUUGAGAGAAUAUAUCCAAUCACAGACAACCAAGGAUACUCAAGCAAUGAAGUUUGCUAGACACAAUUCAAUUGACAACCUCAAAGAUAACCCUUGAAUCAAAGAAAUCCAAUAGGAUCAACAAGGAGAAGGAUCAGCGCAUUAGUUUGAAACAAAUUAAAGCUGAGUCGAAGAAGUACGAAGUUUAUAGAGAAGAAUCUCUCAAACCCAAGACAAAGCUCAUAGAACUUCAAGAGCACGAUUAAAAACACUUUCAAAUACAUUGGUCAUAAAAGAAUAAAAAACUUGCAGGAAAAUCACCUCGCAAUCUAAAAGAAAAGUUAAGCAACAAAUAUCCUUCAAGAGAGUAACAAAAGCAUAAACGUGGCUUUGCUCUAGCCCAAUUUCACGUCGAAGUAGAUUAUGUAGAGUUUUAAAAACAAAUUACGCACAAGUUUGGCGAAGAGCUAAAAUAUUUUCUCAAAUAUUUUAGAAGGAUAGUUAAGUGCACGACCUAACCAAAAGCAGUUCAUAAAAACUCAGAAGUAAUCAAAUGCUUGUUUAAAAUUCUCAAAAUUUCAUAUUCAAACAAGCGUGUAUAACAUUUAUGGCAAGGACGAAAGAGGAAGUUAAACUCUUUUUAGAAAAGAAACUCCGAAGUAAAAGUUUGCUUACAAUUUGGUAAAGGAAAUAAGUGGUGCGUUACAAACGAAUCGGUUUCCACUAAACAAGGAAGUUCUCCAAAACCUCAUUUAAAAUAGUGCAUGCCGAUUUUUAAAUUAACUUCAUCAAAAUUGAACAAUGGUUUCAAUCUAAAUCAAGCAACAGAAAAUAAAUUCCGUUUAAAACUUCUUACAAGAGGAUUCAAAACUUCUUUAAAAGGUUCAAAACAAGACUCCAAAAGUGUUCUUAAAAUCACCAUCUCAGGAGAACAUUCAAGAAGUUUAAGAUGUACUAAAAAGGAGUCAAGCCUUGCAAGAAAGGAUCUUAAACCAAGGUAGCCCAAACAAGAUUCACUAGGCAUGAGUCAUCAAACAAGCUUUCAAUUGAUCCAAAAGAAUACAAAAGUCAUACGAAAGACGAUUCAGUCAUUAGUAAUUUCUUAAGGAUAAAUCUUUGACUAAAAACUCUUGCAGAGAUAAUGAGAGAAUAAACGAUGCACUAAUUUGAAACGAAUCAAACUUACUCAUAUACGAAUGAGAUUCACAAAAAGGAAAAACCAAAAUCAAUGGCAAUAUUCACAAGAUGUAGAAGAUCAGUUAAAAACAAGGUCAAACAUGACAUUCAUGGAGAUGGAAGAUUUAAUAGAGAAUUUAGUUUGUUCAUAGGAAGAAAGCUAUGAGUCCAAAAUUUUCAAAAGAACAACAAUGGCAUAACUCAUGUGGUAUGCUAACUCAAACUCAAAUAAAAAUGAAUUAAGUAAAGUUUAUCAAACAAAACUCAACCGGGACAAAAGCGAGAAAUUCCCUUUCUUUCCAGAAUUUUGAAAAAUAUCCAAAUACAUAAUCAAAUGAAGAUGUGCGUUGGAACUAUAGUAAAAUUACUAGAAAAUCAAAUUGUAUUUUAAGUAAAUGCAGUUCCGUAAACCAGUAAAAGUACAGGCGAGGUAUUAGAAAUAAAUAGUUGUUAAACUGUAUAAGUAAUCUCAAAGUUUCAUAUAUAGAAAAGUAUAUAUCUAAUCAACAGCAAUUUAUAAAAUCUCAAAAUUGGCUGUGAUCACUGUCAAGUAAGAGAAAAACUGAAUCAACAAUUUCUCAAAGAAUGGACUCAGAACCCGGAGUUAAAGUCACAGCACAUUAAGACAAGUUCAAGGCUAUAUCAAAGAAUACUUGAAUCAAGAAGAACUCAAACAGAGGAAGAUAGAUGCAACAGGGAUCUUAAACCAGCAUAUGCACUUAAGGUCAAACAAGAAUGCAUAUCGAUAGAGGAAUAGAGUUGAAAAAUCAAACUACUUUCCAAAGGAUUAGAAAACAAGGACUUCAAGUUAGGAUACAAAAGAACAGGUCAACUCGAACAGAAUUCAAGACACACAACUGAAUAGCCUCGAGAAAUAGUUUCUAACGUUCACAAAACCCGUGAUUCGCUUUACUCAAAACUCGUACAACAUCUAUGACAACCCAUCAGUACCUUCAUGUACAUAAUUCACUAGUAUUAAGCCGGCCAAACUUAAUACCAAGAAUUAUGCAAUGCAAGACUAACGGCGUUAAAUCAAUAGAUCGUCAUGUGCAUAAAGCUCUAAUUCUCGUCAUUCGACAAGACCUAAUACAUGACAGACACUCAGAGUAUGCAAUUGAUGUAACACCCUACCAUACAGAGACUUAUGCUUAAGUCAUAAUUCAGAGAUGGCAAGGUAUUACGACCUCCAGAACCAAAUUUUAGUACGUAUAGUAGUAUGAAUAAUUGAUUAUAACUAGGAGCCUUUGUAGAAAAAAGGGGUAAACAAAAACCGUAACUCGAAAGCGCAACACUCCGAUCGAUAACGUAACGAGUAAAGGAUAAGCGAACGUGAGAUCAUAUAUAUAAAGGAGUGUCAAAAACAGGAAUAUCAAGACUCAAAAUCCGGCUGCAAAGAUAACUGGUCCGAGCAUAACAAUAUAUACAUAUGAUAGAAUAAGGAAAACCCAAAGGGACACAAAUACAAAAAUCUAAUCUCCAAAAAUCCCCUCUAGAAGGAGUCAUCACAGUUUGUAUUAUUUAAUGGAGAUAAAAGUAUCUAAACAAGAUAUAUAAACCAAAACAGAGUCCCGAGAACAAAGGAUCUUCGCUAAUCCAGAAGUCUCCAGCAUGCCUCAACGAGAAGCCUCGCGUCCUGCAUCUGAAAACCACAAAAUCCGCAUGGGUGAGAACCAGAGGUCCCCAGCACGGUAACAGCUUCCACAUAUAUAAUACAUAAUAAUAGAGGAAAGCCGAAGGCAAUCCUAGAACUUCCUCCAGGUAAUAUCAAAGCUUAUAAACAAGUUAAACCGUAAGUGGCAACUGACUAAAGAUCCUUCAGUCUAACUAAUACUUCCCUUUCUAAUUCCUUCAGACCUCCCAACCACCAGUAGGAGUAUAAUAUAGCAAACACAAUUAUAUCAGACAAGAGAUAUACAAAUAAGAACAAUUAAGGCAUUUAGACAAAUAGCAAGUAAUAUGCAGUCAAAUAGGCAAUCUCAAACAACUCAUGUAGUAUGCUUAUGAUGCAUGCCUGUCCCCAGUGGCUGAUGAUAUCAUCUGUCGGUUAUAAAGCCAACCCGACAAGUCCUGGUAGCUAACCAUUGGACUGUCCCUCUGUCGUGCAUCCCCAACUCGAGUUAUACUCAUCAUAAACUUGAUCAUAAUCAUGAUCCAUAUCCAUCACCCUCACUGGUGAAUAUUUAUCCAUCACCAUCACUGGUGAAUAUUUAUGGGGGCGAGCUCAUCCGGGCCUUUCACAGUGCCCGGCCACACUUACGACAUUGGGUUAACAGAGCUUCGAGUCUCAACCUGGAGCACAUGGUGGCUAGCCAUUGCUACUACCCAGGGAAACCCUCAUCUCCAAUGGUGGAAGUGCAAACAUUCACAAUUCAAUCAACAGCAUAUAUGCAUUUAUACUUGGCCAUAAACAUGGCUCCGCCGUAACACGACAAUAAUCUAGUCAUCCGGCUCACGGUUAAAUCCAUAACCAGCCAAUUCAUUAACAAUUAUGACCCUUCGGCCCAUGGCAUAACAAGCACUUCCACCGCCAUUCUCCGCAUCUCACAUUUUCAUCUUUGAUCCUCAAUGAUCAUUCAUUUUUUUCCCUUGCUUCACUCGCAAGUUACCACAUUCACUAGCCCUUUUUCCUCAUGCUAGGCAUAUCAUAAUGAUUUAAGAUAUAAGUGGUGAGAUCGGAGGCUUAGAAGUAUGAAAUUUGGCUUUUAAAACUCAAAAAUCAACUUUGGGAUGAAAACAGGGCCACGCGUACGCGCACUCCACGCGCACGCGUGGAUGGCCUUAAAACUCAUCGACGCGAAAGCGUCAUACGCGCGAACGAGUGGGUUGAAAAUUAGCCAAACGACGCACACGCGUCAGCCACGCAUACGCGCGAAUACAUUGUGCCCCAGGCACAAAACUGGCACAACUCUGGCACAACUCUCUGGAAAAUGGUUGGGCAUUCGAUGCAGCGCAUCGACGCGCCCGCGCACACCACGCGCACGCGUGGAUGAUGCUUUCUCGAAGAACGGCGCGUACGCGCCAAGUGCGCCUACGCGCGAGGGGUCAUUCUGCUAAAAAUUUUCUAAGUUAAAAGCUGCAGAAUUCACAGAUUCAACCCCCAAUCUUCUAACGGUCAUAACUCUCUCAUUUUAAAUCAUUUUUCACCCGUUCUUCGAACGGCAUGGACAUCUCGGAUCCAAUUUCAUUUCUAAACAGAUUUGGCACAAAUCAAAGAUCCGUAGUCCAAGUUAUGUCCCGUCAAAAUAUGCCCAAAAACCAUAUUUUCAUUCAAAACCACAAAGUGCCAUUUUCAAAACAAGCCACUUUCAACUCUUUUCAAGAUCAAUCAAAACAUGCCAAUUUCAACCCUUCUCUUUGAAAUCAUUCAAAAUGUACCAAAAUCAACAACAAGCCAUCAUCAACUCACACAUUAACAUUUUACCAAAAUUCCCAAAACUACCUCCAACCAUUUUAACACUUCUCAAUCAAUGGCUAAAGGACAAACACAAUCUCAUGUCAUACAUCCUUCUCAUCCCAAUUUCCAAUAAUAUCAAUUUCCAAAUCAACCAUCAUUAUACAUGAUCAACAUCAUACUCACUGGUUGAGAAUCUUACCAUACCCAAGGUCCAAGGAGACAAGAUUAACCUUCUCCUUCAAGAGAGUUGGGUCCUAUAACAUCAAAGAACCCAAAAUCUCAACAUUUUUGCUCAUGAAACCCGAAAUCAAGGGCUGGAAUUUCGAAUAGUAAAACGUGGCUUACCUCAAGAUUAAUUGUAUGAGUUUUGUAGAUCUCUCCGCGGUGAACGCAUGGCCACAAACGGAGCGGCGAUCGGAGCUCUAGAUCAAAAGUUAUGGUGGUUUGAAGAUCAAGUGAAAGAUAGAACUUGAGAGAGUGUUCUUCUCCUUCCUCACUCCAUUUCAGCGUGUGUGUGUGUGUUUAAUGAGAAGAGAGAAUGCUAAAAACUAGGGUUUUGGUUUAGUUAUGUUGGGCCAAGGGCCCACUUUGGGUCUGGUUGGUCCGGUUUGGCCCGUUCGGUCCAAAUUUGGUCCGAUUUCUAUAAAAUUGGUACCGAAAUUCUCGUCUCAAUCUCCUCUAUCAUAUUAAGCCAUAAAAAUAACAUUUUUGGCUUUCUAGAAUAAAUUCUCAUUUAUGAGUUAAUUAGCCGUUAAUUAACCGGGUCUUAUAAUUGAAGCAUAGUCAGUCCAUUCCUCAAGCUCUACCGGAAGAACUGCUCUGAUACCAUAAUGUAAUACCCUAACUACCAAAGUUCACACUUCUGGCUGCGCGACUCUGAUAGCUCGGACAUUACGACGACUUUUAUACUAUUUAAUACUAAAAUAUGAGCCCGUUUAAAACUUUUAAACCGCAACACCGCUCCCAAAAAUACUUUCAUUCAAUAACGUACAUCCAUAAAUACCAUACAACUUACAAAACUCAUAAAGAGUACAUCCAUAUAUAUAUAUAUAUAUAUAUAUAUAUAUACAUACAUACAUACAUAAUAUUACAUACAUAAUAUUACAGUCAUUAUCCAAUACAAUUCCUAUCCCUCUUACAGAUUAUAUCAAGAUAAAGGCGAUGGUACAAUAAACCAUAACUAAAACAAUACAGAGUAUCUCGACAACAAAUAAAUAAACUCUUCGUAACUUCUGCGCCCAUAUCCUGAAAGGGAAAAAAUGUAGGGGGUGAGAACAUCAUCCUCGAAAGGGUUCUCAGUAGAGGGUUUUUGGGAAUUACUGUAAUAGGAUACAUGAAGAUAAACCGUACCAGUGAUUAAUAACNNNNNNNNNNNNNNNNNNNNNNNNNNNNNNNNNNNNNNNNNNNNNNNNNNNNNNNNNNNNNNNNNNNNNNNNNNNNNNNNNNNNNNNNNNNNNNNNNNNNNNNNNNNNNNNNNNNNNNNNNNNNNNNNNNNNNNNNNNNNNNNNNNNNNNNNNNNNNNNNNNNNNNNNNNNNNNNNNNNNNNNNNNNNNNNNNNNNNNNNNNNNNNNNNNNNNNNNNNNNNNNNNNNNNNNNNNNNNNNNNNNNNNNNNNNNNNNNNNNNNNNNNNNNNNNNNNNNNNNNNNNNNNNNNNNNNNNNNNNNNNNNNNNNNNNNNNNNNNNNNNNNNNNNNNNNNNNNNNNNNNNNNNNNNNNNNNNNNNNNNNNNNNNNNNNNNNNNNNNNNNNNNNNNNNNNNNNNNNNNNNNNNNNNNNAAUAGUAUAUCUAUAUAUAUAUAUAUAUAUAUAUAUAUAUAUAUACAUACAUACAUACAUAAUAUUACAUACAUAAUAUUACAGUCAUUAUCCAAUACAAUUCCUAUCCCUCUUACAGAUUAUAUCAAGAUAAAGGCGAUGGUACAAUAAACCAUAACUAAAACAAUACAGAGUAUCUCGACAACAAAUAAAUAAACUCUUCGUAACUUCUGCGCCCAUAUCCUGAAAGGGAAAAAAUGUAGGGGGUGAGAACAUCAUCCUCGAAAGGGUUCUCAGUAGAGGGUUUUUGGGAAUUACUGUGAUAGGAUACGUGAAGAUAACCGCACCAGUGAUUCAUAACCGUCUUAUGCCUCUUUUCAAAAACAACAGUUUCCAAUAGAAGUAAAGUCGGGAAUCUUUUCUAAAAGAGGAACCGUUCAAUUCUCAAAACUCAAAAGUCUUUCAAAACGGUUUAUCUAUGCUGAAACAAAGUAGCCUUUCAUAUUUUAUUCCAAACCAGAAACACAAAACUGAAAUCAACCAUCGGUUCAUCUCAUUCCAACCACGGCCCUAGGCCCAAAUAAUCCAACCAACAACCAAUCACCACAAUCCAACAGAGUCCCAGAUGCAAACACAGAUAGGAAGUUCAAGCACAAGCAAACAGUUAUUACAAGUAGAACAGUUAGCAAUUACUCACAUAGGCAAGCCAAGUAUAACAUGCACACCCAAACAAUGUCACAUAAAUGCAUAUGAUGCAUGCCUAUCCCUAGUGGCUGAUGAUAUCAUCUGUCGGUUAUAGAGCCAACCCGACAAGUCCUGGUAGUUAGCCAUUGGACUGUCCCUCUGUCAUGUCUCCCCAACUCGAGUUAUACUCAAUAUAAGCUUGAUCAUAAUCAUAAUCCAUAUCCAUCACCCUCACUGGUGAAUAUUUAUCCAUCACCAUCACUGGUGAAUAUUUAUCCAUCACCAUCACUGGUGAAUAUUUAUGGGGGUGAGCUCGUCCGGGAAUUUCACAGUGCCCGGCCACCCUGACGACAUAGGGAAACUCAAAUCUCCGAUAGUGAAAGUGCAAAUCACAAUUAUCAAUAUCUCAGCAUAGGUGCUUUCAUUCUUAGCCAUGGAUCAACAUCCAUCUCAGCCAUCCGGCUCUUAGUUCAAUCCAGAACCAGCCAAUAUUCAUAAUCAUACACAGCCAUUCCGGCUCACAAUAAAACAGCACUUCCACAUUCAAAAUCAUCAAAUUCAUGAAAUCGGCAUUUAAGCCAUAAAUCAUUUUCUCAAUUCGUUUCACUUUGAAAUCAAGUUUCAACUCUUUUCAGCCUUGGCUUUAGAAAUCUCGUUUCUCAAAUCAUCUCAGGCUCAUAAGCCAAAUUUACUCAAAGUGAGUUCCCUUUUUUAAAACAUAGCCACUCCCGGCAUUCUCUUUCCAAAACUUCCAAAACCAUGGAAAGUUAAAGAUUCCUUUUGAAACAUUCAAAACCACCCAUCCAACAAUGGGAUUUUUGUAACAAAAGUUCCUCGGCAAAGUCCCAAGUCCUUAGGAAAGAAUAACGACUCAUUUCGCCAAAUUCAUUUAAAAUCAUUAAAAAUCUUGGCUUCCUUAUUUGGGUAGUAAAAUAGGAUCUAAGCCAAUCCGAGUCAUGUAAUCAAUUACUCUUUUCAAAACCAUUUCCUUUUCUUAAACAAAAACCGGCUUCAAUUCCAUAAUUAAACCUGAGCGUUUCAAACUGAUAAGAGAAUCAUUUUUGUUGUGUUAAACUAGAGUUCAAAGGGUACUCUGAAUCUUAUUCAAAACGUCAAAAUAAUGAGGUUCGUCAAUCGAGAUCCACUUCCUUUUAAAAUCACGAAACUCUUCCAAUGGACACUCUUUAUGUUUAAUAGAGAAAAACAUAAACCAGUUUUUCCUUUUUAAAACAGCCUCAAGGCAAAAUUCCUUUUCGAAUAACUUGUACCCAAAGACAUACUAUUCUUCUCGGAAAAGUAAGGAGGAAUCAUGAUUCUCUUUUCAAUAAUUCUUUCAAUGCGUAGCUUCAUCGCUUUCAUAAUUGUUCUAAGUAAAAAUAAUAAAAGAAGCCAUAAAUUCACAAUCCUCCAAGUAAAUAGGAAAGGCAUUAAACUCCAAAUUUCCCAAAUAACAUUUCAAAUAAAGCCUCGGAAUUUAUAGAAAUUUAGGCAGCAUCUCCCCUAAAACUUGGACUUUGCCACCCGGUUCGGGUCCCAACUAAACCGUUCCUCAAUCCUUUUCAACAGUCCAGAACCCAAAAAUCAAUUUAAAAUCACGCUAAAUCCAACAGUCGUCUCAGUGGCAUAUCUCAAGGAAACCAUUUCGAAAUCAAAUCAAUGUCAACCGAUUUAACUAAUUUCCAAAGCUUUAAGGAAACGGCUCAAUAACAAAUCAUUUGUCCAAACCACGUCAAUUAAAGUAAACCAGGCUGAAUUCAAAAGUGCGUCUGACUUUUCACAUUAUCAAAAUAAUUGACUCAAUUCAAAUCAAUGCUCAACUGAUCAAACUCAGAUUUCAAAUCUUUAAAGAAUCAACUUCAAAACAUUACAUUUCACAAAGCCGCACAACAAUUCAACCAAACCAACAUCCAUAAUCACUCGAGUCAAUCAAAUAACACAUAAGGCAGAUACAAUCACCAAAUACCAAUUGUCUCACAUCAGUAUCCAUAUGUAAUAAUUCCAAUACAUACAACAUAGUUUUUGGAAAGCGCCCCUACCUCAACACGCAAAUCCAUAACCCAAACGUCUCACCGAGUCCUUUUCACCUCAACUCGAAAUCACCGGCAACCAAAACCUCAGCUCCCAGUCACUUUCGCAAUAACCAUAGCACACUAAUCACAAUAUAUAAUAAUCAGGACUCGACCCCACGUUACCAAAACUCAUUUAUUAACCAAACACAACCGAAGACUAACGCGAGACUUUUCGAAACAUAAUUUCUUACCGGAAUAACAACACGAAGCAGCUGCGAUUUCGAACCGGCCCCGGCAACAGCUCCGGCGGCGGCCAGAAGCUCCGGUGGAUCAACUAUAGAAACCACGUAACAUCAAAACCUUAUCAAGAUCCAAAAUGACCAAAACCACAAAUUAAAACCCCUUUACCUCAAAGUCAAAACUCGCAGAAAUCACUAAACAGAGUAGCUCCAUCAUAGUGGCUGGUACCGCAGCGACCCAGGCAGCGGCACCAACUGAACAGCAACCCCGAUGAUGGCAGAGGCUCCGACAGCGGCGAGAAUCAGGAGCAGAGGCAGAGUUGAGCAUAUCUCCCAUUCAAACCUCCAAAAGAAGCACCAGCUCCAACAGCUAGAUGGUGGUAGUGGCUGACUUCAAUACUGGCGACGCCGGAUAGAACAGCGACGGCGACAAGGGAACAAAUGGUGGCGCUAGAACGCCGGCGACAAAACCCUAGUAGCAGUGGCAGCCGGAGCGUUUUUCUUCCUCUGUGCAUCCCUGAGCCGCAGGUCUUCUCGCUCUUCCUUGGACGGCGACGCACAGCAAUGGGACCCAGCGGCGGCGUAGGAUGGCAGAAUCGCGACUGGGCAGGGACGAAAGGCAUGGCUUCGACAGCGGCGCUCCUCGCGUGCGGCAGAACGCGACGGCAAUGAAGCCUCAUCUCCCUCCUUCGCGUCACUCUCCUCCCCUAGCGAUAGCAACGGCGACGGCACUCCUCGCCGGUACCGCACCGUCCUCCUUCUCCGAUUCCUCUCCCCACUUCCCUCCAUGGUUUGACGAUGGCGCGACGGCGGCGAUGAGGCCAGCACGCCGGCGCGAGUCUUCCUCUCCUCCUCCGGCGAUCUCCUUUCCUCCACACACGGCGAACUCCUUUCCUUUUCUCUCAAAUGCGUUUGUUUCUUUCUUUCUUUUCCUUUUGCUUCUGCGUGUGGGUGUCUAGGGUAGAGGGGCGGCAGCUGUUGCUGCUUGGGUUUGAGGGAGAAAGAAACCGGGUCGGGUAAUGGGUCGUUGGGUUAGGGUUUCAUUUUCAAAAUUAGGGUUAAGGACAUUUUAGUAAUUUUAUUUAAAAAUAAGGGUAAUAUAGUAAUUAGAAAUAAAUUCUAACCCAACAAUAAUAAUGUAUAAAAAUACUAUUUACUCAUCAAUCUUACACUUUAUUUUCAAUAAAAUAUCCAAAUCAAAAUAAUUAGAAAUAAUAUAAUUAAACCCUUUAUUUUCCAAAGUAACAGUAUUAAUAUUUAAAAUAUUAAUUAUUUAAUCCGAAUCAUAUAAAAAUCCUUAUUAUUUCACAACUACCAACUUUAUAAUAUAAUUAUAAAAAAUAAUCCAAUAAUUAUCAAAUUGAAUAAUAAAUCAUAACUUGUCUCAAAUUCAAUAAAUCACACUUGCCUUAAUUAUCUUUAAUAAAAUGAUUUCCGAAAUUAAGGCUAUAAAUAACUAUAUGAUUUGAGACUUGAUCAUAAUAAGACUUUUUAAAAGUUCUGGGUCUUACAUUGAGAGACAAAGUCAUUGAGGCAUCUGAAGCUAUAAGAAUUUCAAAGCCAUCCGCUGUCCUCUCAAAUCCUUUUUGUAAAUUCUCAUCUAGGGAUAUAGAAAGUAAAUAGGUUAUAGUUUUAUUCUUUGACUCAUUGUAAGAAAUUGUAAUUAACACUAAUUUGUUUAACUCGUUGUAAAAAAAUAAGAACUUCUUUUUUUAUUCGUUGUUAAUGUUAAUGUUAAUGUAUAUAUUUGUCGGAACUGCCUGGACUGUAUUGAAUGAAUCUAGAUUCAUAGUGAAUAGAUCCAAUAUAUUUACCAAACAUCUAGAACACCAAAAAACAAAUGAACCAAAAUUAUUACACAAAAUGAACCAAAAACAAUGUAUAUAUGACUAUUCAAUUUCAGAAACUGUUUGACAUAACACAAUUGUAGAAGCUAAAUUUGAAAAAACAAAAAGUGGUUAUUCAAUAAAACACAACAUGAAAUCAAAAUUAACCCUCAUUAUAUGACUAGAACCCAGAUGAACUGAAAUUUAGUAAUACAUGAAUCGAAAUUUAUAUUAAUAAAAACUGAAACUUCUAUAAUCCUCUUCGGGAUAAUUCAUAUCCUGCGCAUCAUAAAGGCUAGAGCUUGUGAUAAACUCCAAUUUUGUAGUUUAUCUUGUGCUUAAUUUGGGUAAUUUUAUCAACUUUUCUCACAUUUAUUCAAUGAAAUAGCAUGGUUUUGUAAUUCUCCCUUAAUUUGUACUUAAGUGUGAAAACAUACUUUUUAGGCUUUAAAAUAGCUAAAUUUAAUUCACUUUAAUUCCAUUUGAUACCUUGAUAUGUUUGUUGAGUGAUUUCAGGUUUAUAAGGCAAGUAUUGGACGGAAUAAGUGAGGAGAAAAGCAUGCAAAGUGGGAGAACUCAUGAAGAAAUGAAAGAACCGUAAAUCUGUCAAUCCUGACCUCUUCGUACUCAAUCGACCAUAACUUGAGCUACAGAUGUCCAAAUAAUGCGGUUCUAGUUGCGUUGGAAAGCUAACAUCCGGGGCUUCGAAAUGAUAUAAGAUUUGUCAUGGUUUCCUGGCGUUUAAAGGCGAGCACACGCACUGUACGCGAACGCACUGGUGAUGACACGUGACCCACUUUGAGCAACUCGUGGCCAGCGAUUUCUAGCUUAUUUUGGGGCCCAAUCUAACUCAUUUCUAAUGCUAUUUGACCCAAGGAUUGAGGCGGGAAAGGGGGGAGCAAUUGUUUGUAGUGUAGCAUCAUGUAGGUUAGUUUCUAGAGAGAGAAGCUCCUUCUUCUCUCUAAAAUUAGGGUCCCUAGGAUUAAUUGCAUCAGAGAUCCAUGUUUAAUUAUUUGCUUUCAUCUUGUUUCUUCUACAUUUUCAUGCUCUAGUGAUGUAAUUCUCUUGCUCUCUCUUGUUAAUUUCCCUUUUUGCUCUCUUUUGUGAUGAUGAACUCUUGAUGGAUUUGGAUUUUCUAUUAAUGCAAUUGAUGUUUGAUGUUCUUUUUAUUGUUGAAUUGAGUUGUUGAUUUUACUUUCCUUGCAAUUGGUAGUUAGAUUUUAUCAUUCUUGCUCAUUUACCAUGAUUUCCAUUUAUACCCACCAAGUGUUUGACAAAAUGCUUGAUUGGGCUUUAGAGUAGAUUUUGAGCAUUCUUUGCUUGGAAAGAGUAGUUAGGCAAUCUUGAGUCAUGAAAACCCAACUUAUGUUGGUGACUUAGAAUUGUUAGCUAGUGUGGUUUCCAUUGACGCUAAUCUUUUACUAAUUCAAUUAGUAAUUUGAUUAUGACUUUUGGAUUGAGAUUAGCUAGUCUUAUUAGACUUUCUCCGAGUAUGAGGAUAACAUGAUACAUUCCUCCAUCGUCGGAGAUGACGUAAUAAGAUAAAUUCUUGUUUAUUAUUGUGAUAUGAUUAACUAGUCUUGUUUGACGUUCUCCCUAUGUGAAGAUAACAUGAUACCUUCUUCCAUUUGUUGGAGUUGACUAAAUAGGAUGAAUUAAUCAAUGCAUGACUAGGAUAGGAAGCAUAUAUUCUCAACCCUUGCCAUGAAUGUCUCUCUUUAUUAAUUACUUUCUUUAGUUACUUGCUUGAUUUACUUUUCUUGUCAUUUAAAUUCUUGUCCAUUUAAUUUCUUGCCCCUUUAUCAAUCAAACCCUUUGUCCCUUCAUAGCCAAUAAUCAUUCACUUCAUUGCAAUUCCUUAUGAGACGACCCGGAGUCUAAAUACUCCGGUUAAUUCUUAUUUGGAGUUUGUUACUUGUGACAAAACCAAAUUUUUGAUUGGGAGGAUUGUUUGUUGGUGUAGAACUAUGCUUGCAACGAGAAUUAAUUUGUGUGAAAUUCUAUACCAACACAACGGUGUGAAUGAUUCAGAACAACUUUUAAAUUUAUCCAAAAACCAACGUCCUUCAAUAUAUGUAUGUAAAUCAUGGCUGGACAAUUUAUUCCAACUGAGGGAUUUGUCUUCAGAGUUGGAGAUAUCUUGAAUUUUCACUUUCCCUCUCUACUACACAUAAUUAGUUGAUUCUUAAUCUCAUCUCCCUUCUGAGUGUUGUUCCUUAUUUUCGUAGAAAAACCUACAAGUUUGGAAUAAUCUUUGUAGAACUUUUUAACUCUAGUGUCUUGAAAGUCAUCCCAACCUUUGGGACAAAUUGUUCAUCCAUAACACACCUGGACUGUAAAAUGAACCGAAAAAUAGUAUCAAAACAAAACCAUUGUAUAAUACUAAAUGAACCAAAAAAUUUUCAUUAUAAUUAUUCAAAAACACUUGCAUCUAGAAUGAAUAAAAAAUAUUAUCAAAACGAAACAAUGUACAAUACCAAAUAAACAAAAAAUUGUGUUCAUAAACAAUUAGAUUUAGCGAUUGCAUUCCAUUCCAUUCAAUUUAAAAUUGAAUAAUCCAAACCUCGUCCAAUAGAUUCAAUUCAAAAGAAUAAUUUAAAUCACUCUUAUUUGAACUUGAAGCAUUCAUUGUUUUGAUACACUGUUGAAAUCUGUAAAUGAAGAAGAAAUCUGAAAUCUGAAAACAAAGAAGAAAAUGAAGAACAUAAAUGCAAUGCAGAUAAAAAAAAAAAACAAAAUUUUAUGUUGAAGAAAACAAAGAAAAAAAUCAAAAAAAUCAGAGUAAAGAAAAAGAAAGAAAAGCUUUACAUUAAAAGAUGGGGAGCAUGUGAAGAAAAAAAAACUUAGUUGAUUUGAUUAAAAAAAUCACAUAAAUGCAAAAUAUUAUUGUAUAAAAUAUUCUACCAUAUAUUGACUUGGGCAAAUUAAAUAAAGAUAACAUAAUUUUAGGCUUGGAAAAUAUAUAAUAUAAUAGUUGUCAAUUUUAUUUAUUUACUGUGUAAAAUAGGAAUCUUAGCUAUGUACGGUUCAGUCCGAAAAAGGAUCAUUGGUUCAGUCCGAAGAUGCAAAGCUGGCUAUGGCCAUAUCAGUGCAUCCCUUUAGCAGGCCAUUCAGGAGAGACCACCCUUUCUAGAAGGUUUUCUAGGCACGCAAAAUUCAAACACAAGUGAAGAAGAAUGCCUCUUUUGGAUAUAAAUAGCUACCUGUCUCUUUGUUCUUUUAUAAGUUGCAACUUGCAAGACAAUGCAAGGACAUCUUUUGUAUAUCAAUGUCUUAUUGUUUUUAAUUUGUUAUAUUUUAUUUAUUUUGUUUUAUUUUUACUGUUUUUAUGCGUUACAAUGUAAAGUAAAGCAAUACAAUUAUGGAAAGAACUUUUCGAUUUACGUGAGACAGAGGUUAAUAGUUAAAUUAGUUUUUGAAAAAGGAAAAACUAUCAUUUGUACCCAUAAAUUUUAUAAAUGCUGACAAAAGUAUCCAUCAAACAAGAAAACUAAGAAAGUACACCCUUGUUGUUUCUUUCUUCUUCGAAUGCAACAACAACACUAAGAAAGCACAUCCUUUUUAAACUCUUCAACCUCUUCAAUCUGAAUAUUGUUGUUCUUCUUAUUCUAGGUUCUUGGUUCUGCGCCUCUUGUUUUCACAAUGACACCAAGAAACUAAAAUGUAUGUUUUUUUUUGUUAAUUUUAAAUUUCUUUUUCUUUUUCUGCACUAGAUCUACAAAUUCAUAAUAUUUGAACAAUAACCUCAGAUAAUUAAUAAUCCACAGUUUUUAAUCUUUUUAAUUUUUUGGUGGCUGGCAGUAGCAGAAGAAGACGAAAGAUGAGGGUUGUGAAAUUUGGAAUUUGGGAAAGAAGAUAGAAAGGGUAAUUUGGAAAUUUUAUUAAAAAGUCAAUGAAAAAUCACGGUUUGGGUAUUAUUGUCACACAGAACCCAUCUUUCAUGGAUACAACGUUAAUUUUCUUGUUUGAUGGGUACUUUUGUCAGCGUUCACAAAAUUCAUGGGUACAAAUGGUAAUUUUUCCUUUGAAAAAUAAGAUAUUUUUUAAAUUUAUCAUUGUUUUUCAAUCAAAUUAGUCUUUCGAAAAUUGCAAAUUAAUUAUAUUUGUCCUCCACUCGCUCCAAUAACAAUUUUCUUCAAAGAUUGAUGUUAUAAAACGUUAAUUGAUAACAUAUAUAAUACCUGAUAUGUCUAAUUGGAUAUUGACUAAAUAUGUUUAUGAAAAUUUAUUAAUUUAGUCAUUUUUUUCAAUUACAAAAAUUUUAUUCCUAAUAUAACCUAAUGACUAAAGUGAUAGAUUUUCGCAAAUAUAUUUAAUCAACGUCUAAUUGAAUAUGUUAUGUGUCAUGUAUGCUGUUAGUUAACAUUUCACAUCAUCAAUCGUUGAUAAAAAUUGUGAGUAAAAUAUGAUUAAUUCAUAAUUUUUGAAAGAUUAAUUUGAUUAAUUUUUUUUUUCAAAAGACAAAUUUAAAAAAUACCUUAUCUUUCAUGAAUUAAUUUGACUAUUAACUCACUUUGACGCACUAACCCAAAAAAAAAAACCAUGGCACCAACCAAACCAUUCUCCAUGACAACAUUAUUGCUUAUGAUAUGAUAUUCAUCACCAUGACCAUGAUUUCCCAAACAAGUUCUAAACAACCCUAGUGUUUUACUUGCACGACUUUACAAACGGGCCUAAUGCAAGUAUGCAACCAUUGUGCAAAUUGUCGUCAUCAACGGAAAAGUCUGGUCUUACACCACAUUUGGUACCUUUAUAAUGGUGGACGGUUCAAAGUUAUACUAUUUGGUUACUAAAUGUGUCGUUAAAUAAAAAAUUAUCUACCGAUGUGGAUAAAAAGAAAAAUUAGGCAUUCGGCUACUUUUGAAAACGCUUAACCACUAAAUUGGUUGAUAAUUUUACCAUGAAUGAUCGAUUUGACAAUCAACAUAAAAAUUAAGUUAAAAAAUAUGGGCAGUGCUACGGUGAUGAAAUGAAGAAUUUUUUUUACAUGCUGAAACAAGGUGGAGUGCAUGGAUACUGGACGCGUGUAAAGAUGUUUCCCAAGACAAAACAAAUCUGACGAAAGCAGAGGAACAACAGGCUUCAACUUGUCAAAGUGAUUAAUAAGUUAGGUAGUAGAUUAUGUUAAUUAAUGUGGUUAAAUGUUUGGGCCAAUUUGAUUUGAAGCCCAAAAUUUUUUUUUGAAGCUGUGUUAUUCGUUGAACACCGAGUAAAAUUGCGUGUGUCAGUCGCCCAACCCAGUUCUCGUCACCCACAGGAAAACGUCUAUAAAUAAUUAAUUUUUUCGGUCAAGAUAAAAUCAGACGCUAUUUACUAAUUUUCUUCUUUAACCGUAGAUAUUUUCCAAUAUUAGCAUCUUAUACAAUAUUUUUUUUUCUUCACAUUGUAAAAUUAAUUAUUAUAAUUCUUGGUCAUUGUUUAUUAUUCUAAUUUGUUAUAAUAUGUAUUAUUGUUUCCAAUGAAAUUGAUAAAUUAAGUCAAAAAUUAACCCUAAAUAAUAAUAAAAACCUAAUUAGUAAAAACCUGGAAUCCAAAACAGUAAACAAAUUAGGAUUAUUGAAGUCACCAAAAAAAAAUUAGGAUUAUUGAUAGUAUUCAUAGAAACUGCAAAAAUAUAUUAUUUUAUAUAUUACUUUUAAUUUAAUAAAUAAAUAUUAACUUUUAUUAAAAAAAUUAUAACAAACUAAAAAAUAUUUUUAUAAAAAAUAUCAUAUAAAAUAAAUACUAAAAGAAGUAUUAAAAAUAAUUAAAUAUACUUAAAAAUAAUAUUAUAAUUUUUUAGUAAUUUACUAAUUAUCUAUCUAAAAGUGAUUUUAACCAAUAUUAUCUAAACAAUUUCAUUUUAUCAAAAUUAAUUUUAAUAUAGAAUUGCCAAACAUAGAUUAUGUUGGCACAAAAUCACUUAUCUUCGAAAUCAGUUUUACAAAAUUACUUUCUUUCAAAUUUCAGUUUAACCAACUAUAAUCCAAACACACACUUUGGGUGUGUUUGGUAAUCACCGUUUGAAGGAAAAAAAUACGUUAGAGCUUCUUGAAAGCUUCACUUUUUUGUUUGGCUAAAUUUCUUCUCUACAAACGCAGAAGUGAUUUUGUUCAUAAAAUCACAUUUAUAAGAAGCAAUAAUUUCUAGCUUCUCCGUUGCACUAACGUGCUUUUAGCCAAUACCUUCAAUAUUUAUUUUUCUUUUACCAACCUUAUCCUUUAUACAUGUUAUUGCAUUAUUUAUAGAAUUCUUAUUAUUCUUCUCUAUAUGAACUCUUUUUUUAUUAUUUAUUAUUUAUAUUUUUUAUUAAUUUUUUAUUUGACAUUAUAUAUUUUUAUAGUUAUAAUUUUGUAUAUUAUAUUUAUUAUUAUCGUUUUAUAAUAGAAUUUAUUGAUCCUAUUAGGUAAAAUAAAUUAAACAAAAAAAUUAACUAUAAAUAAUAAUAAUAGUUAAAAAUUAUAACGUACUAAAAAAGAGUAUUAAAAAUAUACUAUAUAAAAAACAUAUAAGAAAAAAAUAUAAAAAAAAAUUAAACAUGUAUAAAAAAAUAAUAUUAUAAUUUAAUGUCAUGUCCUUUUAAGUAAUUAUCUAUCUAAAAGUGAUUUUAACUAAUAUUAUCCAAACAAUAUUUAUUUUAUCAAAAUCAAUUUUGGUAAAGAGUUGCCAAACAUAAAUCAUGUUUAUACAAACUUACUUCUAUCCAAAAUCAAUUCUAUAAAAUCACUUUUAUUCUCCAGUUUUACCAACCACAAUCCAAACACACACUUUGUCGUUCGGUUUAUUCGUUAGAAGAUUCGACAAGUUUGACUAAGUUAUCGUUUAAUAGUUCUUAACUGUUAAUUUCACAUGAACACAACUUCUUUAAACUGUUCCUGUGUAAUAAAUAUAUUAUCACUACUUAGAAUUUUGAUCAGAGUCACUAUCAUUUCCAUAAUUUUAGCGGGUCCAUAAGUGUUUAUGAUUAUAUAGUUUCGAGUAGGGCAAUGCUACGACGGUGAUGAAGUUAUUCUUCAUCAUCAGCUGCUGAAGCGAUGUCGAUGAGCUAUCUGGCUGAGGCGUGUGACGUUGUUGUAUAUGAUUUUAGGUUAAGAGUUAGGAAUAUUGUAAAUGAUUUAGGAUUUCAGAACUAGAAUUCAGGAUUUAUAAUUUAUAGAUUAUCGUAUAUAUCGAGUUUAGACUUUAUUAGAUUAUGAUUUAUCAUUUAUGGUGUUAGGGUUUCGAUUUUAGGUUAAAAGGUUAAGGAUUUUAUAUUUAAACUUAAGAAUUUAAUGAAACUGAUUGAAUGUUUAGGAUUUAGGAUUCAAGAUUUAGAGAAAUUACUGUUAAGAGAGAGUUUAGAAUUUAUACUUUAGGAUUUAAGUUUGACAGUGAGAUUCAGAGUUUAGUGUUUAAGGUCAAAAUUUAAAAAUUGACAAGAUUUAAGAUUGUAAAUAGUUAAAAAAAUAUGACAUUGAUUUAAAGAAAUAAUUCUUUCAAUUAAAAAUGUACGUAGGUGUUCAUUAAACUGAUACAUCUAAUAAUUAUCAUAUAUCUUACAGACAUUUUUUAAAUAGCUAGAAUUCUUAUUAUAACUAUCAAAAAUACUUUCUAAUUCGCUUAUAAAAGAAGGAUCAUUAAAAAUCUUCAAAAAUUAAUUUUGAAUAUUAAAAUAUAUGGAUGUCACACUCAAAAUUGAUGAAGCUCCAAUCAGAUAUACCUUGCAUCAUUAUUCACUGAGAAACAUUGAUUCCCUCCAAUCUAGCUACGUACCUUCCAUUGUAAGGCAAAUGUGUUCUCUUCUAGAUGGCUUUCCUGCCAGACGAUGGGUUGGAGCGAUGAAAGCUUUGAUUUUAGGGUCUAUAAGGAUUAUUACUAAAUUAAUUAUAAUGUGAAUAAAUUAUUUUUAUUACUAAAAUUAUUUAUUAUUUUUUUUAGGUUUCUCAUAAAUUAUUAGAUUAAUUUAGUUGAACUUAUUUACUAAUUAAAAUUAUUCAACUUUCAAAAUAAAAAAAAGAAAACUUUUUCCAUAUGUUAAUUUUAAUUCGAAAUAAUUUUUAGUUUAAUUUUGCUUCACACAUUUCAUUUUUGAAUUAUAUAAUUCUCUUUCUAUAAAUAAAACCAAAUAUCAUUUUAUUAAAAAAGUGUUUCCAUAUAUAUGUUCAUUUAUUUUGUUUUCGGUUUUUUUACUCAUCACGUGUCCUAAAAAAUCCUCUUCAUGCACAAAAAUUUUAACGUAUCAGAUAUACCAUACAAACAAAAAAAUAUUACAAUAUUCAUUCCUUACUCUAUAACCCAACAAAAAGCCCAAUCAAAACAAAAAUUUCACCAACAAAAUGCCAAAAAGCUCAAUAACUAACACACCUUCAUUAACCAAUAAUUAAACUCUCCUAAUUACCUCACUCUAGACAAAACUCCUGCCUAGUCAGUCACCGCUAGCAGACACUGUCUGCGCGUGUAGUCACGCAAACCCAUGUGUCACACAAUGGGCUACACCACGCAGUUUCCUUUCCUGAGGAAAAAAAAUCACUUCUUCAUGCUAGCAUUGGCCAAAAAAUGUUAGUCCCUGCCUAAAUACGUCGCUAGUGAUAAAAUUCUUUUAAGGAUAUAAAUAUAAAGUUUUGUUUAUUAAAAGCGUAAGAUUUUUAAAUUUACAAUAAUAUUAAACACUCCAUAUCUAUCUGUUGUAAAAUAUUUAUCUAAAAAAAUUAUCAUAUUUAGAAGUAAUAAGUUAUCCUUUAUAUGGUAGACAAUUAUAAAAGCAGAUAAAAUUGUUUCUUACUUAAAAUUUUAAUUAGAAAUAUGGUUAAUAAUUAGGAAUGAAUGCGAAUCGGAUCGGAUCAGACAUGACCAAAAUUUUAAUUUAAUCCGUACUAAAAUUAUCAGAUCAAAACGGAUCUAAUAUCCACAGUUUUUUAAUUUGGAUGGACGAAUACCUACAUAAAAUUCACAAUCUAAUUCUAUUAGUGUAUUAAUCAGAUUUCAUAUCCAUAAUUUUUGGAUCAAAUUCAAAUAAAUUCUAUGAAUAUGUAGAUUGAAUCCAACGCCCCUAUUUAUUAAUUGACUGAUGUUGAUAAUUGAGAGGCAUGUCUUCUUUUGGCUGUUGGAGUAAUAGUGAUGCUGCAACUUCAUCAACUUUGGGUACCAAUUGGCAAGUGGCAACCUUGGUAAAUUGCGUUCAGAAUAAUGCUUUCUUUCUCAUUUUAUUCCUUUUGUACUUGGCUUCCAAAAACAUCUUGAAAGUCUCAAAGUCUUACUCCAUUUAAUUACUAUGACAAAUUAUGGAAAUGAAAAUGACUGGAAUCACGAGUCACUGGAGUACGGGACACAAUAUAAGGAAAGAAUAAAUGUCUACGCGUGUAGCUACCCCAAAACAAGAAAGAAAAAACAAAAACUCUACCUACCUCACUCUCUCUCUCUCUCUCUCUCCCCAUUCCUCGGGCUCUAAAAUUCCAAAAAUGGAUGAAAACAACGCCAAAGACACCGCCAUGACAGCUGGUGAGACCGAAGACACCGCCGGAGCCAGUGACCAGGCGAGCAAGUUGCGGGUGUCAAUGAGAUAUGCGCUGAUGUUUGUAGAGUACCCUUUCAUGGCUUCCAUUGAAAGAGAACCCAGGAAGCUUUAUGGCUGCCGCGUGAAGAAGAGAAACUAAUGAAAGAAUGAGAUCAAGUUGGAGCUUCCGACGGUACGGUGGUGGUGUGCGACCCAGGUAAUCAAGCUGCUGCUGUUUUUCUACUUUAGUAUGAACAAUUAAUUGUUAACUCUUUUGCUCACUUCUAAUUUUACAAAUAUUCUGAACUUUUCUGCAUUUCUGGAAACACACUACAAACUAUCUAUCAAACAUUACAAACAAGAUAAGCACGAAUAAAGCUAAAUCAAAACAGAAGAGAAUAGAAGAGAAAAUAAUGAUUCAGAGAAAUUGAAUGAGAGUUCUAAUUUAUUUUAUUAAUUUUCGCUGCCGUACUUUCCCUUGAGAAAACAAAAAUCAACUCCAAUUCCAUCGUUCCAACCCCUCUCCUGUCCCCCAAACUCUCAGUUCGAACGAGUUUCCUUUUAUUUUAUUUUUCGUUUCAGUUUCAGUGACACCCUUUCAGAACCCUUAGAACCCUUAUAGAUAUGAUUGAACAGAGCGGUUUAUUGCUAUGUGUUUUCAUAUGCUUCUUGCUAUAUCAUGCUGUGAGGGCUGAGAUACCAUUAGGUUCUAGACUUUCGGUGGUUGACAAUGGCAGCUGGGUUUCCAAAAAUGGUAAUUUUACCAUUGGAUUUCUUAAGAUUUCGGAUGAGCCUGGCCAGUUUAGUUUUGGCAUUCGUUUCAGCGACAAGUCUAUACCGUAUAGUCAACAAAGAAUGGUGUGGAGUGCUGACUUUCUGUAUGGAGUAGGUAACAUGUCCUAUUUCCUUUUCACCACAGAUGGUGAAAUGGUCCUGUUUGAUGAUCAGGGAAUGCCUUCAUGGAGCAGCCAAACCAGUAACAAGGGUGUCGUGUCGGCUUCUCUUCUUGACAAUGGAAAUCUUGUUCUAAUCGACAGAGAGCAAAAGGUCAUUUGGCAAAGUUUUGAUAGUCCAGAUGAUACGCUUCUCCCAGGACAGUUUCUAUCUUGUGAUAAGAUGCUUCAAGCUGCAAGUACGAAUCUACUGUCCAGUUACUACACCCUGUCUAUGAAUGUUUCGGGACACUUGAUGCUCCUUUGGCAAGGUAUUAUUCCCUACUGGACAAGCCAAAACCCUUCUGUUCCGAAUCUCACUGCAUAUGUAACAAACAAUGGAGCUCUGCAACUUUUAGACAAAAAUCUUAAUGUUGUUUGGACCGUGUUUGGAGAAGACCACGAUGAAUAUGUUAAAUACCGGUUUCUUAGGAUAGAUGUGGAUGGCAAUCUCCGCUUAUAUUCGUGGGUGGAGGCUUUGCAGUCAUGGAAAUCUGUCUGGCAAGCUGUUCAGAACCAGUGCAAGGUUUUUGCGACUUGCGGUAAACGGGGGGUCUGUGUUUUGUCUUCCUGUGGUACUGCUGAUUGUGUGUGCCCUUUCAACCAGACGGACACUGAUGAGACUUGUUUCAUUCCAUAUGAACAAAAGUGUAAACAUGGUUCCACUAUGGUCGCAUAUAGGCACAUACACCUAUAUGGGCUUUACCCUAUUGAUGGUCCGGCUAUCAUGACUAGCGUGAAUAAAUGUAUGCAAUUGUGCCAGAAUGACUCUAGUUGUACUGCCGCAACCUUUUCUAAUCAUGUUCUUCCCCAGUGCUCGAUAAAGAAAUCUGAGUAUGUCACUGGCUAUUUAGAUCCGUCUCCAAACGUGGUAUCAUUUGUCAAGAGUUGCUCAUCUACAUCUGCCCUAAAGUUCCCAUGUCAAAGCUCACCUGCAACAGAAGAAGAUCCUCAUACUUGUGUUCCUUGUCUAAUAGGAAUAUCCUUAGCCACAAUUAUCAUCGGUGUUGUCCUUCAACUCGGAUGUUAUUAUUAUCUUUUCAUCUACAAAAGGAAAACCUCUACUAGAUGCAAAUACAAUUUACCUUCCGCAGACACAAAUUUAAAGGGCCUAGUUGUGUUGUUAUCUUUUUCAGAGAUCAAGAGCGUCACUGAGGAUUUCAAAGAUCGAAUUGGGCCAAAUAUGUUCAAGGGCAUGCUACUAAACAAAUUCCCAGUUGCUGUUAAAGAGCUGAUUGCAUCCAUAGAUGCAAGGAAGUUCCGGACUGCUGUUCUGAAGAUUGGAGGCAUCCACCACAAGAACCUUGUGCAGCUGGAGGGCUAUUGUUGCGAGUCCAAUCAUAGAUUCUUGGUCUACGAGUACGUCAAAAACGGUUCUCUUGAGAAGUAUAUAGAUGAUUCCGCUCUUUGCAAGGAACUGACCUGGAGAAAAAGGGUUGACAUAUGCUUAAGCGUGGCCCAGGCCCUUAAUUAUCUUCACUCUGAAUGCAGGGAGUUCAUAAGUCAUGGAAAUCUGAAGUGUGAAAAUGUCAUGUUGGAUGAGAACUUAAAAGCCAAGGUGAGCGAAUCUGGGUUUGCAAUAGUAGACGGCGAGGCAGUGUACUGUGCCUUUUCUGCCAAGAGAGACAUAGCAGAUUUCGGCAUGUUAGUCCUAACCUUAUUGACCGGAUGUAGAGAUCAAAGUGAUCUUUGUGAGUGGUCAUAUAAAGAAUUGAUAGAAGGGAAUGCUGCAAAUGUGAUUGACAAAAGAAUUCAAGGUGGUGCCAAUUCAAAUGAACUUGAGCGCGUUUUGAGAAUCGCAUUCUGGUGCCUACAAAGCAAUGAACAUCAAAGGCCUUCAAUGGAGGAUGUAGUGGCAGUACUGGACGGAACUUUGAGUAUUGAUCCACCACCACCUCCAUUUUGAUGCAAGAGGUUAUUGCUGGAAGAAUCCUAGAUACAAUAAGAUAAUGUUUCUGAGAUUCAGUGGAGGUGCUAAAUAAAUUUGUAGGAACUGUGUUCACUUUAGUUUACAACCUUAGUCACAUUAUAGUUUACAACCUUCUUGUUUGUGCUAAAUAGAGAGUUUGUUACCUCUUAGCUUAUUAGGAGUUGUAACUAUAAACUUUGAAGACUGUGUUCAGCAUUGUCCUGUUUUUUUAUCCUUGAUUAUAUAUAUAUAAGAAAGGUGUGCUUCUAUAGUUAGUGAGUAAUGCUUCUAUAUAUUUUGAAUUAAGGAUCAAAAUAGAAAAUCUAAUAUGUUGAACAACACAAAAGAAUGAAGGUGAGACUGUUUCUCAUCAGUUGCAUUUAUACAGAAUUUACUGAUGAAACUAAGUUACACAUAUUUUUUCUUUUAUAUCUUCAUUUAUAGUAACAUGAUUGGUACAUAUGCCUUCCAUUUUUUUUCUCCCAAUUGUUCUUUUUGCUGGACAGAUGAUAUUACUUUGUCAUAUUUUCCAUGUUUAAACAUCUCUAGUAUGUGAAGUCACACAUUGUCAAAAAGGAGUGAUUGUUGUUAUCUUUUUAUUCUUAUAGUUUGUGGUUUGUGUUGCGAUGCAUUGUUGUUGCGUGAUAACAUGGGAGUUUAAUACCUGAGAACAACCACAAAGUUCUUUUGUCACUGGGUUUGUACAUCUCUAUUGCAUACAUGUCUUCAUCUUCUUUGGGCCGAUUAUAUUGCUUAGAUCUUCGAUUGUUCUGUGAUUCUUGAAAAACACUGAAGUUAUUUUAACAUGUUUUAUUUAAUUAUUAUGCUUGGCUAGGCCGUUUUCUCUUCUGCUUUUCAUAUUCUGCCAAGAUGUUCUGGGAAUGACAUGAUAAAUAGAUUAAUGAUGCAUAUCGAUUUCUCUUUACCCUGAUAAAACAAUCCGACUUUGAUGACUUGAUUGGAUUCUUAAUUUGACACUUGAUCUUUUUCCUUCCCUUAUUUUGGGUUCAAUGAGAACAUUUUAUUAUGAACUGUAGGUACUUGCUGUGAAGAAACUUGAAAAGAGAGUUUGUGAUCACCAGGAGGAGGAGGAUUUUCUUGAAUUAGUGAAUGGCAUUAACAAUCGUCGAGUUUAUUGGGUACUGUUCAGAGCAUGGUCAAAGGCUUCUGAUAUAUGAGUAUUGCAGUAAUGGAUCACUCAAUGAGGCACUCCACUCAGAGGAUGAAUUUAAAACAAGACUCACAUGGAAUGCUUGCAUCCGGAUAGCACUUGGGGCGGCUAGGGCCCUAGAGUAAGUCAAGUUACCAUUAUGUUUUUAAGAGAAAAAAUUGCUCAAGCUUGUUGAUUUGUAGCUUUGGCUUAUAACAGGUUCAGAUCUUUUAUUUUCACAAGUCUGGUUUAUCCUGCCUAAAAUAUUAGUUUUCCUUGGAGAAUUCAUUCAAUUGCUGAUAUUAAUUUGCUCAAGUCAUGGUUGUUGAUGUUGAAGCUUUAUUUCAACUUUGCUAGUACUUCCAAAGUUAAAUUGUUAAAUGCUAAAUUAAACUUUCAUGGUUAGUAAUACUUGCCACAUUAUGCUUUAUUUUUUGUGUGAAAGAUUUUAAUAGUUAAAUAUUUUUUUGCAAACCAAUUCAACCCUAAAGGUUAAGCUGUUGGUUGCUGGCCCAAGAAUGAUGGCUUUUUUCUAACAACAAUGAAUUUCUUAUCAAAUCUCUUUAGAGAGUUCUAGGAUCCUUCUGAAAACCAAAUGAAGCAUAUGCAAAAAGAUAAUUGGAAGCUGAAGCAGGGGAAAGUCUUUCCUUGAUUUGACAUAUUUGAAGACACAAAUCUUUGAUGAUCUGAAUGAGAAAUCUAAUGUUUCUUCUUGUCUGCUGACAAGGUAUUUGCAUGAGCAAGAGCAAUGUCAGCCGGCUGUGAUUCACAGAAAUUUCAAGUCUGCUAACAUUCUUCUUGACAAUGACCUAUAAAAAGCAUGUAGAUCAAUCAGUUCUAAAGAUAAAAAUUUUCGAAAAAGAAGAAGGGCAAAUUAUGAUAGAGGCAAAUACACUUCCUGUUGAGGAGGAUGAAGACAUAGUUAAGAAACCUAUAGUUGUCUAAAGUCACAAUAUAAUUGAAACAUCGAAAGAUGUUCAGAUACUUGAAAUUUGUCAAAAUGAUAAGAUCUUAAUAAAUUUUGUCUUUAUAGGAGAAAAUAGAACCAAAGAGAAAUGAUUGCCAACGAUAUAUUUGCAUAUAAUGUGGUGCUAAAUAUUAUACAUGAAAAUGAGGAUCUUGAACCAAAAACCAUCUAAGAAUGUCGACGAAGGGAUUGGUAAAAGUGAAAAGAAGCCAUAAAUUACCUUGCAAAACGUGAAGUUUUUAGUUCUAUAGUACGAAUACUAGAAGGUGUGAAACUUGUUUGAUACAAAUGGGUAUUUGUGAGAAAACAAAAUGAGAAUAAUAAAAUUGUAUGCUACAAAACUCAACUUGUAGCACAAGAUUUUUCAGAAAGAUCUGGUAUAGACUAUAAAGAGACUUACUCUUUCGUAGUUGAUACAAUUACCUUGAGAUAUUUGAUUAGCUUAUCUGUAUAUCAUAAAUUAAAUAUGCAUCUAAUGGAUGUAGCCACAAUAUAUUUAUAUGGGUUAAAUAUGCAUCUAAUGGAUGUAGCCACAAUAUAUUUAUAUGGGUUAUUAGAUUAUGAUAUCUAUAUGAAAGUCUUUAAAGAACUAAAGAUAUCUGAAUUAUCCAAAGAGAAAUCUCAAGUGUAACACCCUCACUACCAGAAUGUCACGCUUCCGGCUGCGCCACUCUGAUAGCAAUAAGUAUUACGACUACUUUACAUACUAAAUAUUAAAAUAGAAGCCUGUGACUCAACACUGUAUCGCUGCGUUCUUUGAAAACCGGAAAAUAAAUACUUUAUCUUAAGAAAAAUACAAGCAGGCAUAGAUUCAUAUAUAAAACUCCUACAUAAUAUCUUAUAGUAUAAUAUACAUAUAAAACAUACAACUCCUAUCCCUCUUACAAACUUGUGAUAACAAAGACAAGGGAAGAAAAUAAUCUAAUUCAUAAAACAACAUAUAAAACCAAACGCAGUUUAACUCUUCUUAAUAAUGGUUCUUCAUCUGGUUCCUGAAAAGGUAAAGCUGUAGGGGGUGAGAACCUAACCACACGGUCUCACAACGGAGUUUUAAAGUUGUCAUAAGAAGAUAUUUAAUAAGAAAACUGUUUUCAAGUUCAGUGAUUAUCAUUGCCUUAUGAAUCUUUUAAAAACCAAUAGGUAGUCGUUCAAAACCUCUUCGAAGAAACAAUGUCUAAUUUUUAAAAAAUCCGAAACCUUUCCUUUCUUAUAAAAGAAUCUCAAUCAGAAACUAACCACGCAAUCAAACAACACAAUCAUUAACUCAGCACCACACGCCAGGACAAACACAGGCAGGACAGACAAGGAAAGCACAAGUAGGCAGCAGUUACAGCAAAUAGUUCAAGUAGCAGUUACAAACAGUUUAGCAAUUAGGCAAACCAAAACAAGUUCAAACCCAAGCAAAGCAUACAAAUGCAUAUGAUGCAUGCCUGUCCUAUGGCUGAUGAGGCUCAUCUGUCGGUUAUCCAGCCAACCCGACAAGUUUGAAUUGUCCUUAGACUGUCCCCCGACGUGCAUCCCCAAGAGUCUAUGGUACACGUGGUGGCAAGCCACGGCACUUAAUCCAGGGAACCUCGUAUCUCAGAUAUUUCAAAUUCAUAAGCCACAUGAAUAAUUCAAAUAUCAUAUCUCAACAUUCUCAACAUCAUAAUCAUUCAUCAAUCUAAAUCUCAUUUCCAAAUUCAUUCAAAAACCAUAUUUUAAAGAAAAUCCUCAUCAAUCCUCAUCAUCCUUCUUUUCAUCCCGUCCAUUAACAAUCCCAAUUCAAAACAUAAUUCUUUCUUUGAUAAAUAAAUCAAUCUUAAGACAUAGAAUGUUUAAAAACAAAUCUUUUUAAUUAAUUACUUCAAAUAAAACUUCCAAUUUUAUAAAAUUUCGGCAGCAUUUCCUUUGAAACUCGGACACUGCCACCCUUUUCGGAUCCCAUCCAAACAUUUCUCAAACCCUUUCUCAAUCACUUUCCAAAAUUCAACCAAUUCCAGUAUCAAAGUAUUUUCAAAUCAGACCAACUCCAAUAAUAAAACUCUUCUUAAAGUCAAACCAGCUCAAGUAUUAAGUGUGUGUUUGGAUUACAGUUUGUAAAUGAGAGUUUGCAUAGAAUUGAUUUUGCAAACUUGAUUUUGAUGAAAAAUAAGUUUGUGUUAACAUGAUUUAUGUUUGGCAAUCUUUAUAUUAAAAUGAAUUAUAGUAAAAUAAAUGUUGUUUGGAUUUUGCUACUCAAAAUCACUUUUAGAGAAAAAAUUACUAAAAGAGACAUCAAUUUAAAUAAUUUUUUAUAUUAUCCUAUCAUUUUACUUUAGAUAUUUGAAUAGAUCUUAGUAAUUCAUUUUAUAAUAAAAAUAUUUAUCAUAUAAAUAAACAUUAUUAUUUUAUAAUAAUAAAAUAAUAUCUAUCUUUUGAGAAAAAAAUACAAUAAAAAAUAAAAUUAUAAGAGAGAGUACGUACUAUACAUUCUAUAAUGUCAAACAAAAAGAAAAUGUUCUAUAAUCUUUUUAGUAUUUUAUUACUCUUUAAUUUAUAUCAUUUUGGAAUAUACAUUUUUAUUAUUUAUGACUCUUUUGUUACUUAUAUUUAGUAUAUAAUAAAAAAUAAAAUAAAAUACAAUAAAAACAAAAAAAAAGAAAAAAAUUUCAUAUCAAACAUAGUAUAUAAUAAUUACAACUAACAACAUAUAUCAUAUGAACAAAAAAAUUACAAUAAGAAGUAAAUAAAAUUGAUAUGAAUAAAAUAAAAUAAAAUAAAAAUUAUACACAACAUAAAUAUAGUACAAUAAAGGAUAGAAAAAAAGGAAUUUAUAUAAACAAAAAAUAAUAAAAAUUAAUAAAAAUAAGAAUUUAUAUCAACAAUAGUUGUCAUAUGAAUAAAAAAGUACAAUAAAAAUAUAAUAGAGCACUAAAAAAAUAACAUCAAAAUACUAAAAAAAUAAUAUAAAAAAUAUUUAUCGUAUAAAUAAAAAAAUACAAUAAAAAAUAUAAAAAUCAAAAUAUGAAAGAGAGUACUAAAAAUAAUAAAAAAUAAUUAAAUUUUUUAUCUUGGUAGUGAUAGAAAAAAAAAUUCAAAACAAAGAACAUACACAACAAAUGAACGAAGAACUACUGUGAAAGUUAUGGUUACUUGCAUCCUUUUUAUAGAAGAGAAUGGAGGGUAAAAUUGGUAGAAAAGGAAUAAAUUUUUCACUUAAUUCCUCUAACGGUAAUCAACUUUCUCAACGUGAACGCAGAACCAAGAAAUUUUAGCUUCACGUGAACAUACGUUUAGAGGUGAAAGCACUUCUGGGUUUAGAGUUCUAACAAAUUGCCAAACAUAAAAGUGGGACGUUCAAGACACUCAAACGGGCUUCUCUCUUCUCCAACGUGAACCCCAAACACACCCUAAAUCAUUUAUAAAAUCAGCCCGACUCAAAAUCAAACCGCUUUAACUUCAAACCAAGAAAAAUCACUUUUCAUAAUAAUCAAGUAAAUAAUUUUCCAAAUCCAUUUCUUAUCAACAACCGUACUUCACUCAAGCAAUCAAGCACCCAAUAAUCCAGUCCACCAAACCAUCACAUCCACAAGAAAUAUUUAAUCACAAAAAUAUAUCUUUUUGCAUCAAUAUCUAUUUAUCACAACUCUGUAAUGUAAAAUAGAUUUUAAGAAAAACCCCUGCCUCGAAAAGUUGAACUCAUAAACUAAAUGCGUCACAAGAACCAUUUCUCUCCGCCCGAAAUUAACUGCAGCUUCAACCACAAGUAUGCUCACUUCCGCAAUAGCAGAAACGGCUUUACUCGCUAUAGGUGAUCCCGAUAACUCAAUCCUAAAACAUAAAUAUCGCGAAACCUUAAUAACAUAUAACGGAAAACUAACGGCGAUGGUUUGAAAUAAAAUAUACUUACGAUAACAGCAGAACGGAACAGUAGCAACCCCGAACUGUCCCCACAGCGGCUCCGGUGAUGGCGGAAAACCUCAGUGGCGGCUGCAAUAACAUCGCAGUGAUAACAAUAUCCUUAUAAAAUUGAAAGAAUGGGGUCCGAGAGCAGAAUACUAUUUACCAACGGCAGUGGCGGCGACUAAGAACUCCGAUAAUGGCCGUGGCAGCUCAGGAGUGGCUCUGUCGGUUCAACAGCAACGGUGAUUAUAUAACCAAGCAGACCUAGACCUCGGCGGUGGUUUCCGGUGGCAGCGGCGAUCUCCGAGCAGUUCUGACGGCCACAACACCGUUUCUGGCGACCACAGUCGCGGCGGCGCAGCUUAGAACGACGAAUAGCGGCGGCGACACCAACUCAACAAUAACAGUGACAGAUCAACGCUGAUGGAGGCACAUAGGAAAGUAGAACGCGACGGCGACGACUCCCUUAACGGCGACGACAUGCAGCUCGGCGAUGGUGACCAGGCAUCGGCGACGACGAACGAUGGAUCUGACGCGAGAGAAAGCAACGCGUGGCGAGACCCGUGGCGCCGGCACAGCCUUCCUCUUCUCCUCCCUCAGUUCUCUCUUUCUCUCCGUUAUCCCUUUCCUCUCUUUUUCUUUUUUUUUUUUCUUUUUCCCAUGAAUUGCUGCUGUGAUUGGGAGAAGAGAAGGGACUUUGGUGGCUGAAGGAGGUAAGGCGGCUAGGGUUAGGAAAAUUGGGGUUAGGGUGAUAUUUUGGGAUUUAGGGUUUAAUUUGGGAUAAAUUUGAAAUUAGUGAUUUUUGGACAAAUUGGAGUUUUGUUAAAUUUUAAUAAAAUUAAGAGAUAUUAUAUUAAAUUAAAUAUAAAAUAUCCAUCUUUAAAAUACCUUUCAAUUACAAAUUUAUAAAUUAGUUUCGAUUAAAUGUUAAUCCGAUAAAAUUGGAGACAAAUAAAUUAAUUCUCCUUCAAUUAUAAGAACUCUAAAUAAAAAAUAACAGUUUACUCAACUUUUAUAUAAAAAUCUCCGAAAUACAGUCUUAAAUAAAUAUAAUGCAUUGUAAAUAAUUAAUUAAUAACUUUUAAAAAUUUAGAGGUCUUACAUCCUACCCCACUUAUAAAAAUUUUCGUCCUCGAAAAUUAACUUAAUACCCAACAUUCUAAAAUAGUCUUGAAUACUUUAAAAAAAACAGAGAUCUUGGCAGAUAUAUGUAUUAAUUUUCCAAAUAUCAAAUAAUUUGUAAAACUUAGGUGUAAGGGAAAAGUGUGGUCUGAAGCAACAGUACUUUACUUUCUAAAUGCGUUUUAGAUAAGCAAGAAAGUUUAGCAUAUUUAUACAUAUAGAUGUUCAAAUACUGAAUAACUAUAAGAUUUAAAUAUAAGGGUAAAGUAUGGUAUAAGGCAGGAAAUACAAGAUAGGUGUUCACAAGGCAAAGUUAUAGUUAAUGUGGCAAAAUGGCUACAAAGCAAACUGGUAUUUAAACAACGGGUAAAACGUUCGCUCACCAAUGUCGUAUCCACUGCAGAACUCCAAUUUGUAACUCCAUCAAUCAUUUCGCAACCCAAAAAAGUUGGUCACAAACCUAUCAUCUACAAAUUUUCACAUGGAAACAGAACUACCACAGCCCCUUAUAACGUCACACACUUACUGCUUCAUCUUUUCACGCUCACAAGCAGCAUUUUAAGGAGACUAACGUUUCACUCGCUAUGCCCAAAGGUCAUAUGUGACUCUAAAGCAAUUCCCGAGUUAUUUAAAAGGUUAUAAGACAUGAGAUAAGGUCAGGUGACAAGGACGACGUUCACAAGAAUUUAAGAGACAACUGAUAAACCCCGUUUUGACGGUUUAUCCUAUAUUGAUUUUAAGGGAUUUUAUCACCUUUUACCUAUAUGUAUUCAAUGAAAUAUCAUGGUUUUGUGAUUGUCUCCUUAUUUGUACCUAGAUGUGAAAACAUGCUUUUAGACCCUUAAUUUGAUGGUUUUCAUUCACCUUUGAUUCCAUAAGAUGCCUUGAUAUGUUUGUUAGUGAUUUCAGAUUGAAAAGGGCUAGGAAUCGAUCAAAGGAGUGAAGAGGAAAGCAUGCAAAGUGGAGAAAUCAUGAAAAGUCAAAGAAGUUAAACUCGCCCAUGGACGCGCGCGCGCACCUGGCGCUUGCGCGCACCUGCGAAUCACCCCAUGGACGCGUACGCGUGCUGUGCGCGUACGCGUCGGUGCUGGUUUAUGAUUUUUUAAGGAAAACGUGACCAACGAAUUCUCAAGGGUUGUGGGGCCCAAUCCCAACCAACUUUGGCGCCAAAGAUGCUAUUUAAAGCCAAGGAUUGAAGAGCAAGGGGGAUUCCAAUCAUUCACUCAUUUUUAAUCAUACACACUCAUUAGGAUUAGUUUAGAGUUAGUUUCUAGAGAGAGAAGCUCUUUCUUCUCUCUAGAAUUAGGAUUAGGAUUAGGUUUAGUUCUUAGAUCUAGGUUUUAAUCUUUGCUUUCUUCUACUUCUACCUUUCAAUUCUUUGUUGUUACAUUCACCAUUCUUCCAUUCUUUUGUUGCAAUUCCCUUUAUGUUGUUCUUAUGUUUUGUUGUAGAUCUAGUAUUGUUCCUUCUACAUUCUUCCAAUUCAAUAAGAGGUAAUUCAUAAUCUCAAUUCAUCCACUUGACUUUUCUUUAUUUAGUAAGGGUUAACUAAGUGGUAGCAAUGAACAAUUCUCAUCACAAUUGAGAAGGAUAACUAGGAUAGGACUUCUAGUUCUCACACCUUACCAAGAGCCUUUUAUAGUUGUUAGUUUACUUUUCUUGCCAUUUAUAAUUCUUGUCUAAAAAUCCUAAAAACCCCAAAUAUAACUCACAACCAAUAACAAGACACUUCAUUACAAUUCCUAGGGAGAACGACCCGAGGUUUGAAUACUUCGGUUUAUAGAUUUUAGGGGUUUGUUACUUGUGACAAACAAAUUUUUGUAUGAAAGGAUUAUUGUUGGUUUAGGAACUAUACUAGCAACGAGAUUUCAUUUGUGAAUUUCUAAACCGUCAAAAAUCCGAUCAUCAAAAACCUUGAGGAUUAGAAAACAAUACAACGGUUUGAAACGAAUUCAAGCUGAGUCAAGGAGUAUGAGGUUUAUAGAAAAGAAAAUCUAAGGCCAAAGACAAUUCACAAUAUUCGAGUAUGAAUGAAACUCUUUCGAAUGCAUCGUUUACAAGAAUCGGAACUUAAGAAAAUUAUUUUACAUCUCAAAAGAAAAGUAUACAACAUAUUUGUAAAAGAAUAAUGAAAACAUAGAUGUGACAUUACUUGAAUACAAUUUCAGGUUGUAAGAGAUUAUGUAAAGUUUGGAAAGGUAUGAGUAAAAAUAUUUAAGCGCUUCACUAACCAAACGCAUGUAUAAAACUGGCAUAUAGUCAAAAGAAAAAUCCAGUUAUACUUCAUCAAAACAUUUUUCAAGUUUAACAUUUUUCAAGUUUAAAAACGGAAUGGGAGAGUUUCAAAAAGUGGAAGCCAUAACCAAUCCCUGGUAUUCUAAGUCUAGUUCAGUCUCAAUCAAGAUUUUAUUUCAAACCAUCGCCGUUAGUUUUCCGUUAUAUGUUAUUAAGGUUUCGCGAUAUUUAUGUUUUAGGAUUGAGUUAUCGGGAUCACCUGUAGCGAGUAAAGCCGUUUCUGCUAUUGCGGAAGUGAGCAUACUUGUGGUUGAAGCUGCAGUUAAUUUCGGGCGGAGAGAAAUGGUUCUUGUGACGCAUUUAGUUUAUGAGUUCAACUUUUCGACGUAGGGAUUUUUCUUAAAAUCUAUUUUACAUUACAGAGUUGUGAUAAAUAGAUAUUGAUGCAAAAAGAUAUAUUUUUGUGAUUAUAUUUCUUGUGGAUGUGAUGGUUUGGUGGACUGGAUUAUUGGGUGCUUGAUUACUUGAGUGAAGUACAGUUGUUGAUAAGAAAUGGAUUUGAAAAGUUAUUUACUUGAUUAUUAUGAAAAGUAGUUUUUCUUGGUUUGAAGUUAAAGCGGUUUGAUUUUGAGUCGGUCUGAUUUUAUAAAUGAUUUAAUACUUGAGCUGGUUUGACUUUAAGAAGAGUUUUAUUAUUGGAGUUGGUCUGAUUUGAAAAUACUUUGAUACUGGAAUUGGUUGAAUUUUGGAAAGUGAUUGAGAAAGGGUUUGAGAAAUGUUUGGAUGGGACCCGAAAAGGGUGGCAGUGUUCGAGUUUCAAAGGAAAUGCUGCCGAAAUUUUAUAAAAUUGGAAGUUUUAUUUGAAGUAAUUAAUUAAAAAGAUUUGUUUUUAAACAUUCUAUGUUUUAAGAUUGAUUUAUUUAUCAAAGAAAGAUUUAUGUUUUGAAUUGGGAUUGUUAAUGGACGGGAUGAAAAAGAAGGAUGAUGAGGAUUGAUGAGGAUUUUCUUUGAAAUAUGGUUUUUGAAUGAAUUUGGAAAUGAGAUUUGGAUUGAUGAAUGAUUAUGAUGUUGAGAAUGUUGAGAUAUGAUAUUUGAAUUAUUCAUGUGGCUUAUGAAUUUGAAAUAUCUGAGAUACGAGGUUCCCUGGAUUAAGUGCCGUGGCUUGCCACCACGUGUACCAGGUUGAAAACUCGAUACUCUGUUGACCUUACGACGUAAGUGUGACCGGGCACUAUAUAAAUUCCCGGGAAUGUUACCCCUGUAAGACCCAGAACUUUUGAAAAGUCUUAUUAUGAUCAAGUCUCAAAUCAUAUAGUUAUUUAUAACCUUAAUUUCAGAGAUUAUUUUAUUAAGGAUAAUUAAAGCAAGUUUUGAUUUAUUGAACUUGAGAUAAGUUAUGAUUAUUAUCCAAUUUUAUAAUUAUUGGAUUAUUUUCUAUAUUUAAAGUAUAAGGUUGAUAGUUAUGAAAUAAUAAGUAUUUUAUAUGAUUUAGAUUAAAUAAGUAAUAUUUUAAAUAUUAUUACUGCUAUUUUGAAAAAUGAAGAAAUUAAGUAUUUAAUUGUUGUUGUGAUGCUCUGAUUUGUUUUAGUUAUGGUUUAUUGUACCCUCGCCUUUAUCUUGAUAUAAUCUGUAAGAGGGAUAGGGAUUGUAUUGGUUUAUGUUUGUAAUAUUAUUUAUAUAUAUAUUUGUAUAUAUAUAUGGAUGUACUCUUUAUGAGCUUUUGUAAGAUGUAUGGUAUUUAUGGAUGUAUGUUAUCAGAUGAAAGUAUUUUUGGAAGCGGUAUUGCGGUUUAAAGUUUUAAACAGGCUCAUAUUUUAGUAUUAAAUAGUAUAAGUGUCGUCGUAAUGUCCGAGCUAUCAGAGUCGCGCAGCCGGAAGCGUGAGCUUUGGUAGUUAGGGUAUUACAACCCCCAUUGAGCAAUAUUGAUUAUUUGAGAAAAAACUAUGCAUAGACUCUUGGGGAUGCACGUCGGGGGACAGUCUAAGGACAAUUCAAACUUGUCGGGUUGGCUGGAUAACCGACAGAUGAGCCUCAUCAGCCAUAGGACAGGCAUGCAUCAUAUGCAUUUGUAUGCGUUGCUUGGGUUUGAACUUGUUUUGGUUUGCCUAAUUGCUAAAUUGUUUGUAACUGCUACUUGAACUAUUUGCUGUAACUGCUGCCUACUUGUGCUUUCCUUGUCUGUCCUGCUUGUGUUUGUCCUGGCGUGUGGUGCUGAGUUAAUGAUUGUGUUGUUUGAUUGCGUGGUUAGUUUCUGAUUGAGAUUCUUUUAUAAGAAAGGAAAGGUUUCGGAUUUUUUAAAAAUUAGACAUUGUUUCUUCGAAGAGGUUUUGAACGACUACCUAUUGGUUUUUAAAAGAUUCAUAAGGCAAUGAUAAUCACUGAACUUGAAAACAGUUUUCUUAUUAAAUAUCUUCUUAUGACAACUUUAAAACUCCGUGGUGAGACCGUGUGGUUAGGUUCUCACCCCCCUACAGCUUUACCUUUUCAGGAACCAGAUGAAGAAGCAUUAAUCACAAGUUUGUAAGAGGGAUAGGAGUUGUAUGUUUUAUAUGUAUAUUAUACUAUAAGAUAUUAUGUAAGAGUUUUGUAUAUGAAUCUAUGCCUGCUUGUAUUUUUCUUAAGAUAAAGUAUUUAUCUUCCAGUUUUCAAAGAACGCAGCGAUACAGUGUUGAGUCACAGGCUUCUAUUUUAAUAUUUAGUAUGUAAAGUAGUCGUAAUACUUAUUGCUAUCAGAGUGGCGCAGCCGGAAGCGUGACAUUCUGGUAGUGAGGGUGUUACAUCAAGGAUUAUACUCGGUUAGAUUGUAAAGAUCUUUAUAUAGUUUAAAGCAAUCUGGACAGAUGUGAUACAACCGUCUUACAUAGUAUUUGAUGCAAAAGGUGUUUAAAAAUGAUGAUAUUUGUCCAUGUAUUUAUAUAAGAAAAUUUGCGUCUGAAUUUAUUAUAAUUGUUGUGUAUGUUCAUUGGAUCUUCUGAACACAUCACAACGAUCAUAAAUGUUCUGAAAGAAGAGUUUGAAAUGAAAGAUCUUGAGAAAACCAAAUUUGUCUCGUCCUUCAAAUCAAAUAUGUAGCAAAAGGGAUAUUUAUUUAUCAAAAGACUUACGCAGAGAAAAUCCUAAAGAGAUUUUAUAUGAAUAAAUUACUUCCAGUAAGAACCCCCAAUGAUGAUUAGAUCACUAAAUGUGAAGAAGGUUGACCAAAAAAGAAAAUAAAAAAGCACUUGGUCCUGAAGUACCAUAUUAGUGCCAUAGGGGUUAAUGUAUUUUGCGAAUAAUACAUGUCCCGAUAUAAUAUUUUAGGGGUGAGCACAGGUCGGGUUGGUUCGGGUUUAUGGUAAAAUUAUAAUCGAACCAAUUAAAUUGUAAUUGGUUCGGUUUGGUUCAGAUUUGCAUUUUUUGUGUAUGUAUCCGAACCAAACCAAACCGAUUAAAAAUGGAUUGGUUUGGUUCGGGUAAUUGGAUAUCCAAUGAAACAGAAAUUCAUAAAAAAAAUAAAAAAACAAAUUUUUAUCUUAAAAAUUCUAUAAGUACAAUAAACAUAUAACAUUAAUAGAAAUAAUCCAAACAUGUUAAACAUUAAAUACAUUAAAAAUUAAACACAUUAAAAUUCAAAAAUAUUAAAAGGCAUAUAUAUUUUAAAUUUUUAUUUUUUUUAUUUAAUUAAUAUAUAGUCGGGUCUACGAGUUGGUUCGGGUUCCGCACCCCAGAGCCAUUACCCGAACCAAUUACUAGAGAGAGUCAUUGGUUUGGUUAGGAUUAGACCCGAUUACCCGUUAGUUCCAGAACCAAUUUAAUUGGUUCGGUUUGAAUUCAAACGGGCAAUCGAAUACCCGCAACCCAUGCUCAUCCCUAUAACAUUUAUUGUAAAUUUAUUAGCGAGAUACAUUUUCUCUCCAACUAAAAAAUACUGGAAUAAAAUAAAAAAAUAUUUUAAUAUUUUCAUGAAAUCAGUGAUAUGGGAUUAUUUUAUCCACGUAGAUUCAAGUUACAAUUGGUUGACUAUAUAGAUGCAAGUUAUCUAUUUGAUUCUCGUAAAGACAAAUCCAAACCGGAUACUUAUUUAUAUUUGGUGACACAAUUAUAUCAUGGAGAUCUAUGAAGCAAAGAUGCUGAAAUACUUAUAAUACAUGAGGCAAGUGGUGAAUGCUUUUGGAUUAGAAAUUUGAUUGGAUAUAUUCAAUCAUUAUGUGGAUUGUCCGAUUAGAAAUAGUUUCUACAACAUUAUAUAAAGAUAAUGCAGCAUGUAUCUCUUAACUCAAAAGUGAAUACGUAAAAGAUGAUCGAACAAAGUAUAUUCUCUCUAAUUUUUUUUCACACACAACCUUCAAAAUCAAGUAACAAUUGACGUUUAACAAAUUCGUUUAAGUGAUAAUUUGGAGCACUUAUUUACUAAGUCACUUCCUACAUUCUUCUUUAAAAAAUAGUACACAAAAUCAAAAUACUUGACUUUUGAGAUCUUAUAUAAUAUUAUCAAGAGGGAGAGAGAUUGUACUUUCUUUCCUGAUUAAGUUUUAUAUCAUUAGAUUUUUUUUUUAUGAAUUUUUUUUUUAACAAAAUAGUUCUUCUUACAAAAGAUAUUGUACUUUUUUUUUUAGUCAAGUAUUUUUUUCCAUCAAACAAUUAAAUUAAUUGUCUUGUCUAUAUAUGUAUGUGUAAGAUUAUUUUUUUCUUUUAUAAUAAGUCAAACUAUUGGAUUUAGUGUAUGAAUAGCGUCAAAUAUUAUUUAUUUAGAAUUGAAUUUCGCUAUGAUAUUUUAUCAGAUUUAUUUUAAAGACUAUAUAAUUUAAUUCUAAAUGAACUUGAAACCAAUUGAAUUGAAUAAUCAAGUCAAUUCGAUAUAUAAUUAGUGUGUACAAUUCGAUGAAUUUUAUAUAACAAAUUAAUAAAAUAUUUUUGUCAGAGAUUAAAAAAAAAUGACACAGCUUAAUAUAAAAAUAUAAUAUUUGGUUAUUUUUGUGUGAUCUGAGAGAGGCGAAUCUCUGUAAAUUUUUGCGGAUAUCAAUUGAAACCUUUUAGAAAAAUUUCUAAAAAGGCAACACAAUAUAAUCUAACAAAAUUUGACUUAAAAGAUGAAUAUUUAUAAUUUAUUCAUUAAAAAAUAUGUAGUUAAAAAUUUAAUAGGUUUUUAAUNNNNNNNNNNNNNNNNNNNNNNNNNNNNNNNNNNNNNNNNNNNNNNNNNNNNNNNNNNNNNNNNNNNNNNNNNNNNNNNNNNNNNNNNNNNNNNNNNNNNNNNNNNNNNNNNNNNNNNNNNNNNNNNNNNNAAAUGAAUUAAAUUAUGAGGGAAAAAAAAAGUUUUAAGAAAUUUUGUUACCUGAAGUGAAAAGCAAAGCCACAAAAAGAAUGCAAAAAAAAAAUCUUGACGCACCAUUAGUAGUCAUUUUGCCAAAAUUACGUUGUGUUCUCUUUGC
rnacentral:lncRNA from 1 species